rnacentral:lncRNA from 1 species
CCUUCACUUUCGUCGGAUUCGCCAGCGCGCCGGUGCGGUUGUCGUCGAGUCGGUUUGCGACUGUGUGGUGGCACACAAUUGGAGGGGCGGGAGAAUGAGAGCGGUGAUGGGACUCAAGGAGCAGGCCGUGAAGUCAAUUAAAGAUACUGCCGGUGGCGUGACCUCCGGCUCGCACAGAGCUAGACGGCUGUCCGGCGGCCUCGACUCCUCCUCCCAUGAUUUCAAGCCUGCCGAGGCCCGCGGUGAGGGUAAGGUGAAGAGGGCCGAGGAGUCCUUGCGCACCGUCAUGUACUUGAGCUGCUGGGGUCCCAAUUAACCUGAUCUAUAUGCCAUCCCCUUUUGUUCCUCGAUAGAAGUAUCGAUCACCUCUUCGAUGCAUACAAAAGAAGAAGACUCAUCGUUAGUGUCAGUGUAUAUAUAUAUAUAUAUGUAUAUAUAUCGGCUUCAAUGACUUUGUGUGCAUGGCUGUAAAAAUUCCAUUGUAAGAAUGUACAAAAAGCUGAGGUCUUGGGGAAGAUAAUGGAUGUUUUACCUUGCUCUGUAAUUCCAUGGUUUCCUGUGGUAGCAAAAGUUCUUGUUGAAACUGUUGCCUCUUCUCUUGCUAAUAGUUAGUGCAAGCAGCUGAGCCGUAUAAUAAACAGAGGAAGAAACAGAGGGGAACAAUAUAAUAAUUGGAUUGAUUGAUUGAUUGAUUCAAUGAGGACGAGACAUACACGCAGACGAUAAUAAUUGGACUUGUGAACCAUGAUUGAGGCCCCGCCGUAUUAAUGAAUUAUAGGGCAUGAUUGUGAUGGAUGGGAUCAAGCGACGGAUACAAACGAAAUGGUUGUCGACCGCAUUGUACUAGUCCUGGAAUCGGAAAGAAGCGUUCGCCGCUGUCAAAGGGGCCAUCUUUCUUUGGAGCUUCUCGGUGGCCUAUCCACGAGACAUGGUUGUGGUGAGAUGGGUUUGACAACGUUAGAACGGUGCCUGUUUGCCAUUAGAUAUUAACAACGUACAUUUCAAUCUGUAUGUGCACAUAUAAUGCAUAAACUAGUGAAGAUUACUUUGGAACUUUGACUUCCUACUGGACCUACACAUUAUAUUAUAUUUCUUAGCCCUACAAACCAGCCGACUCACGCAAUCCGUCUAAUAUCUAUCUAUAGCUGAUUAUUAUGUUCCUCACGCUGUGCUUUCUUUGCGUUCCAAGAGAUGAAUUAACACACCGAUUCUAAUUGGGUUGCAGAUACAGUGUUUGGACAGCGACUCGACAUAAACCCAGACUCGAUAUCAAACUAAUCUUCGGACGUCACAGCAGCAUACGAGUUCAUGUCGAUUGUAUGGCUGUUUAGACGAACUCCACCAGCUUGUAAAGCACAAAACAUAAUCUGAGAAACCAGAGAAAUAUAAUCAAACAUCUGAUCGGUAUACUUGCAAAUAUACAAUUACAGGAGUUGGGAGUGACAAAAAGUUGACCCCAAAAUAUUUCCCUCAGCUUGGGAUCGGAUCACUCCCAUUCCAUCUAGUUGGGUCCCCAGCAGCUCAGGUACAUGACCUUCCUCAACGAUUCCUCCGACUGCUUGGCUUUCUCACUGCUUCUAUCGGAGAUGGAGGACGACACCCUGAUGGCCUGAGACAAGGACCCCAUAUUGUUCUUGGCACGCUGGUGCAGAGAUCUGAAAGCGUAGUUCCAUCUGCAGAGUCCUCCUUGAUCUUUGAGUGCUUCCACUGCUCCCACACUCGCUGCCGCUAUCCAAGAAGCUUUCCUCACGGAAGCCAUCUCCCACCUCGUCUCUUCUGUGUGAUUUGUGUAGAUUGUAAAUGCCUCCUGUUGUGGUUGCCAGUCCGAGGAAGCAGUGGCAAGCAUAUAUAGCCAAGGGGAUGGGUUGGUGUAGGUGGUCAUGUGAGAAAGCUGGGUGCGUGUGGCUGUUGGUUUCGGGAUCCCACUCCCACAAACAAGGGGCUAUUUGCACCUUUCGAUGGGCCAAAACCGGAGGUUUCACCAAGCUGUAGGAGAAGCGGCGACGCCGUAGGCGACAGCGGUACGGCAACACAUCGGUGGCAGCUUUGUAUGUGGCAGCGUCAUGCGGUGGAUUGCAAGCAGAUAUACUAACGGCUGCUUUUACGGGUGACCGGUUCAAGGCGGCUAUUUGCGACUCGGAAGUGAGCUCGAUGCUGUACAACGUUGUGGCAAGUUGAUGGAAGAGGACAUUGUCGCGGUUCUUUCACUUGGUAACAUAAUUCAACCUGGAGUAACCUCUAACCUGAACCAGCCAAAAAUUAGUCUGACAUGAUGAAUUAGAUUAGAGCUAAAAGAACAGUAACAUCGUUCUCUAUUAUGUUUCUUGCUGGCACCUAUAAUCUUACAGGGAGGAAUACAAAAUUAAUAGCAAAAGCAAUUAUAUUGGUCACAUUUCACGUGAUCAGGAGAGAUCAUGGGUAAGAUUCUCAUUGCUCUUUCUGCCUAAUCUUGCAUAAAGAAUAUGAUUUUUUAUUCAGAAACUCUCAGUUGAUGUUCUUGUGCAAGAAAUUUAAUUGAGGUGGGCCUUUUUUAGUGCCUCGUCUAUUCUGUUCAUCAUGUGGGUUAAUAUCACUACACUAUUCUUACAUAGCAAGAAAGCUAUUGCGCAUCUGUUCACCAGAAACUUUCCAAUGGUUGCAGAUACAUAUUCCACCCACUAUAAGUUGGAUUGAUUGAUUGAUUGCACCACUUGAUUCUACCUCUUUUUGGUUUAGUAUGCGAACCUGAGUCACCACUGUAGUGCGGCACUGUGAUAGUGGUCAUCGACGAACCAAUUUAACACAAGAAUUCUCCCAAUACAAACAACUAAACAGUGACAUCCUCGAUCGUGAUGUAAAAGCAUUAUUCCCAGCAGAAAUGACGCACAAGAACCAUGCAUCCGAUUGAUAAGCCCACAGAUGCGUGUCAUUACCUGACGGCAAGUGAGGCAUCUCUCUUUCUCAUUCACUGUACAUGAUCGCUACACUGGUACCCAUCACGACAACUGUUCCACCGUGACCUAAGAUGCCCCACAAACAUUGUCUGCCGAAGCGAAAGACGAAGGUCCGAUGGGCUCGAUUCCACCGUAGAACAGGUGGGGUUGUGAGUGAGAGCCACAACAUGGUCUAUCCUGCGAGAGAGCUAAUGGAAAUGGACCAAGUUGCAAGGCCAUACUUUGCCAUGCUCACAAUGCGACAAUGCAACACGAACGUCGAAAGAGUGACAUACCGUGGACAUGGGCCAUACAAACCGGAUGAUACUGCCUAUUACCAGUCUUGGGUACUCCCUGUUUCGAGGAACCAAUGGUCGACUCUGCCGGUUGUUUUGGUCCAAGAAGAAAACCGCUGGCUUCUGCCUCUUGUUCCACCAUCGCCUUCGUCCUUUGAGGUUCUAUAUAUACGCCUCUUUCGAUCGCCCUUCGAAUGAUCGGCCCAUCGCACAGAAUUUCCUCUUUUCCUACCGCAACACUAUCAUCUUCUCUUGUACAGGAUGAAGUUCGGAAACAAGGCAUGCGUGGCUGUGACUUUGGGAGCUGCAAUUGAACUAAAAGAUCAAGUGGCCAAACCGUAUUCGUCGGCUAUUAAGGGAAACCUGUCGACGAUUGGAUCAUCGACAGCCGAAGUCGGACGGUUCCAUAGCACGCCCGAGAGCCCAACGAGCGAAUUCAGGCCUCACGAUAAGAAGCAUUUAGCUGGGGAGGAGUCACUGAGGACGGUGAUGUACUUGAGCUGCUGGGGUCCGAGCUGACCAGCUGAGACACAAUUGGCGUGCUGGGUCGUCUUCACUUCACCGUAGCCCACGCUUGCUCUCUGGGUACUCCUUGCAGCACGAAUUCCAACACGGAGGUACGCCCAUAACAUCGCAGAGAUGCUGCACCAAGGCUCCCAAGUUUGAAGCCAAGAAGGGCCUCGAGGAGCUGAAUACAUGUACAAAGCAAUGUGAUCUUUUCAGAAUUUUGUAUUCAGUCUAUAAUCAAUGAUAAAUAAAACGCUAUAAACAGAGGUACUUUUGCAUGAAAGAAGACGAACCCCUUCUAUAUGCUGUACAAUACACAACGUACAUACACUGCUACAUAAAGAAAUCAAGUCCGCUUGCAUGUAGCAUGUACGUAUACCGUGCAACUUUGUCCUCAAUGUUGCUUAUUCUACUUCGAUGUGUGAUGAAUCUAAAGUCACAUUUAUGGCUCCUUAAUCUCUAACGAGUUUGAUGUCAAAGAAGGUAAAUGCAAAUGGCCACAAGAAAACACGGACUUAUGGAAUUGAAUCAUAAUUAAAACUAAAUUUUGGAUGAAUUGCGUCCGAGCUUAUCUCUGGAAACCCUCAGAGUCAACGAAACUAUGAUUGCUGAAGCAGAUCGGACAGGCCCCCAUCCUCAUCUGAUCGUGAGGUUGUGGCGUCCCAUCACUUUUAAGGUCUCGAUAUAAAUCAUGUUAGGAAACUAUAGGGGAUGUAAAGCUUAAGGCACCGGCCGUAAUUUUGAUGCUUUUCAUCCGUACUUAUACUCUCCUUCCUUCGUUAACCACGUCGUAUUUCUCGGUCAGCAGAAUUAAUUCUUUGCAUCUUUAAUCGUCUAUUUACCGUGGCUUUCCGAUCAAGGGCGGAUCCUCUCUGAUGUGAUGAAGCAUCUUUGAUCAUGGCAUAUGAUUGCUCCCUCGACAGGGUUCCAAUCGUGGGCCCCCACCCCCACAUCCAACCUCCCUAAAGGACAAGAGAAACUUAUUAGCUGCUCAUUAGCCAGCACACGGUGACUCACCGGGUCACCACCUUCUCUUUGGUGACGGAUAAGGCCGAGAGGGCAGCUUUCCCUAUCCAUCGCACGCUACCCCACAAAGUCUCCGAUUUCUCUUUGUUCUUUUCUCAAUUUUUUUUUACAAUAGAUUAUGACAAUUUAGACUUGUUUUUGUUUGGGAUCCACUCCGAUCGCUGUUCUCUUCAAAUUCCAAUGGGAUCCCUCCAGCAUUCCACAGCCCUUGCGGAGGAUCCCAUCAUGACACCGAACAAUUAAUCGCAAACAGAAACAGGGCGUCAGAAUAAUGAUUUCUCCCGGACGACUUAACUCACGACCUAACUCACCUGGUUCCCACUAGAGUUAAAGUGCCCCCUACGCUCGCUUUCAUCUGUAUGAUGUGUCCCUUUUUUUAUCUUCGUUUAAUUCCUAAUACCGGAAACCACGAUUCUCCACCCACGGUUUUUCAGAAAACCGCUUCUCGUCCCUCGCUAUAAAUAACCCCAUACCCCCAACCCGGUUUCAUCUCCUUCGGCUGCACGGCCCUCCGGUAAACGAUUGAAUUCGCACCAAAGUUAUACCAAGAAGGAUCGAGAACGAUCCGUGGUGCUCGUCAGAUCAGGAUCGAAAGGGAUCUGCGAAAGAAUGAGUUACCUGAAUCGAGUCUGGAUGGCAGCGACGGUGGCGGUGGUGCAGGGACACACCGACCACGGAAUCAACUCCAGCCAGCUCCGCUCCCUCCACCGUGCCGGGGACCGCCUAGCCUCCGCCGCGGCCGCGGCCGCUGCCACGGGGGUCGGGAUCGGGCGGGCUCUAGGUGGAGCCGGCGCCGAGGAGCGCCGGAAGCAGGCGGACGACUCGCUCCGGCAGGUCAUGUACCUCAGCUGCUGGGGACCCAGCUAAUCGACGGGGGUGAAACUUCCGGAUCGAAGAUCCAACCGAUCGACGUGCUUCUUUGGAGGGCGAAGAGCGGCUGCGAGUGAUCCAGUACAUCCCGGGCCGCCCAAGGCUUUGCUUCACCGCCGGGUCUGUUUGGGGGCGCAGAUUGGAUACUGAUCUUGAAUGGCAGAGAGGGAUGCGGAACGUAAUGAUGUUACUAAACGUGUAAUUAUUGUGUAUUUUUAUGGCUACUGGACUCCGAAGCUGUAUAUUGGCGAAAUAAAAUCUUCCUCGGUUUCCCUAAAUCUUUGAUGACGUACUGCAAUUUUGUGGAGUGGUUGGUCGUGCGAUGUAAAAGACACAGUUGAUUCGUUGACUCUUUUUAAUCUUUUCACUGGUCGAUAGGAAUUGUGUCACAUAAUGCAUUUCGUUGUCGAAUCGCUGGCAGCUAUCUUCCUACAAAAUCACUGGUACAUAAUAUUAUUGCUCGUCUUGUCAAAGGGUCGAAUUGAUUCUUUCUGUUGCUUUCCCUUUUGCACGAAUCAUUUACUGGUCCGUAGACUGUGCGACUCGGCUAUCACUAAGUGCCAAAGCAACGACCUUUUCUCAGCCUCUCCUUCCAAAAUGUUUUUGGAAGGUGCUUAUCAUAGAGGUGGAGUAAAGCAUGAUGGCUCAUAGCAAUCGAGUGAUCCCAGGCAACUGUGUGGAUAAUGUCUGGGGAAUCCUACGCAAAUAUGCGUGCAUGUUGGUGAUGGAGAACAAAGAACAGUGAUGCAUCUCGAGCUGCUCCAUCAAACGUUGCGUAGUUUGUUGAAUGAUCGUGGAUCCACCAACAGAUUCCACAAUAAUGCGAGUCGCAACGAAAUCAUGGUGCCACCACUUUACUGGGUAGUUUUACCUGAGCAGUAGACGCGUGGCCACCGCCACACGAGGCAGGUCAAAAGAAAUGGUCCUCGGCAUCAUUUAACAAAGGACAUGUCCCUAAGUAGCCGGACAUGAUUACCGUUCUUGCUGCCUUUAGCCACCACUAAUCGGUCUCUUCCACCGAUCUCAACGUAGACGAAUCCGAGUAGGACCACAGAGAAGGAAGGAGCGAGGAAACGAGGCAGGAAAGGCGACACAGAGCAAUGGGUUUCCCGAGAUGGUGGGGCCGACUUGCUCUUUACCAUUUCCACGAGCUGCUCAUCACGUGAAGUCGCGUGAUGGGCGAGGCUGCGGCCAACCACAGGCUUCCAAGCGUGCCGGGCCUCGUGGGGGGGGGGGGCGCGGGGGGGUAUCCGUUCCCUACGGGUGAGCUACAGUGUUCUUGUGCUGUGUCAGCAACGCGAGUCCCGGUGGCCUAUCGGUGAUAGUGCUACGUGUUGGCAGCUACCUCAGUGGAGACAACACUUGACGCUUGCAUCGAGCGUGAUGGACAGGCACAUUGGGAUGGACGAAGCGUCUAUUGGCAGGAAUCCGACGCCGAUUCUAAUCCAUGCAAUCUGUCUCAUCUUUUAUUUUGUACAAGAUCGGUACACCGACUCGUACCUUCUCACAAAGAUCAAAGCUUCCGACGGAGUGCAUUCAUCAGGACAUCAUCAAGGAGGAGAUUGAACUCAAUCCCCGGUUCAGAUCCAGCCUCAGCCCAAUUGAGUUUGAGCAGCAUCAGACCCUCCACACAAUGACUAGCAUGCCCAACUUGCAUCUUGAUGAUUCGCAUGAUUUCCAAGAACUUGACGAAUCAAACGAAAUCAAAUAAUUGAAGUUACAUAAGGCAUCUGACGGAUGCAUUCUAGAAUUCUUCAGGUCAGAUUAAUCAAAAUGCCCCUAAUGACUCUUGGGACUACAGCAAAACACAAAAAUACUGUUUCUACCCAUCGACAGAGAAAGUUAAUACACUCCAAAAUAAAGAUUAUAUGAUAUUUGUCUUCUCAGUACAUAUUUCCUACAUUAUUAAGAAGAGAAAUCAACAUCCUAAAGAGGAAGAAUGACAAAUUAACGACACUGGAACAAUAGACUAUCAAAGAGAAUUAAUGAGCCAAACACGCACACCACAACUGUACAGGAUCAAAUAGCUGAAUGUUCUCCAAGGGCAUCAUGUAUGGGUUCCCUAACAUCAUAUGGUCUCUGGGAUUUGGAAGUGCUGGACACCAAAGAUCUGGAGGGAGCUAUUCUGAACGAAGAGAAUAAGGCCACAUUUAGCACUAUUAAAGCCCUCCCACAGAGUGAACUGGACAGAGCCGGAGAGGUUCUUCUUCGCGGAGAUGUCCUUGACUGAAACGAGCUUUUCAAGUUGCCGGACAACAUAGUCAUUGGGGAGAACACGGCCCUUGUUCUCACCCUUGUCACAGUUGGUGAUCAGACUGCUCUGGUAGAGUGCUACCAUGACGUCGGCGCCACUUCCGUCCACUGUCGACCGCAAUGCCCCAGUGAAAGCCACCUGCAGUGUCUCAGGAGCUGGCUUUUGGAAUGUUGCCUGUGGUGUUCAUUCAAUCUCAUCAGUCGCUUAAGUUUCAUUCCAAAAGAAAACUGGCUACAUUAGCUCUAUAGCACCAGCUACUCUAGCGCUGCAUCAAAUUUAUGCAGGCAUUUUAGACUAUUUCUAUAUACGUGUGGAGGCAAAUUUUGCCUUCAUACAUACAAAAUUAUCUUGCUCCACUGCUCAUACAUAUGCCAGGGCAUGUUUGGAUGUUUGAUACUGUCUGUUUUCUACUAAAGAGGUCAGUUUGUCUUCGUUACAUUAAUUCUAAGCCAUCACCGAAUCAAUACUAAUGAAACUUCCAGCUGAACCAAAUUACAAUUUGAUCAACACAGAACCUUAUAUGAUUAAGAUCUUUAUCAUAAGUUCUAACGGCACAAAGCAUAUCAGGGAACUAAAAAGGAUUUUUGAAUGGAUAUAACCCUAUCAAAUUGAAAUCCACCUCGUUCAAACAGACGCAGAUUAAGAAUUUGAACUGAUAAUUUGACUAGUGCACUGAUCAGAUUCCGAGUCGGAUCUGAUGUCGACUGACAUUGACACCAUCCAUUUAUGACCUAAUUCGAUUAUAAAUAGAGAUUUAACUCCAUCCUUAUUUGUUAAGCCAAAGUAUGUUUUUUGAGACGCAAACAAAGUCGAACAUCAUUGGAUCAGAUCAUGCAUUUUAGAUUGGAGUUUGGGAUCUUACUUGCACCUUAUACGAAUCACAUUAUAGACUGUAUUCUAUAGAGAAUAGACUGCUUAUGGAUAAAACUUAAUUGGAUCCACUUAUAGCUCCAGAUUCCAAGAGCUCCAGGGGAAUGCUAAAAUUACAUCUGAACAUGAACCCACCUAAAUCCAGGUCAGUGAGACCGUUUAUAGUUUGCAGGUAAAUAACCCUGAAGCUAAUCUCUAAUCUACCAUAAUUUCCGUGGAUCACACUGAAGGAACUGCCAAACAAGAAAAGAACAAAAAAAAGAUAAAAGCAUAGAGAAACCGAACAUCGACCAAUAUGAUUUAACUUGUCAAGUACUCUUACGACAUCAAUCUGUUUGUGUGUUUAUUCUACAGGCACAUUAUUAAACAUCAUAAACACUGGUAUGGAACCUAAUUGAUUUAAAUUAUCCACCAUGCCUACCAACAUGCUAUGGGGAAAAAAUAAAUGAAGAAAAUUACAUUAUUCUGCAAAAUUUAUCAAACCACGUCACUCUUUCAUGGUUAUUUUGACACAAUUAAUAUAUCAAACCAUAUUAAUUGAACAAAUUAAUAUGACCAGAAAGAAAGUUUUGCGAUGCGACUUCGCCAAUGCAGAUUAACGUGAAUAGCAUGCCAAUUAGUCGCAAUAGGGAAAUCAUUUUUACUAAACGAUCGAAAAAGGUCGGCCUUCUCGUGUUGCCAAGUCAUGCAUCGUAGCAUUAUUUGAUGGGGCAGGGAAAAAUUGCAUCAGUUGCAAUCAAAUUCUAGGUUUCAGGAUCCAGAGAUGAUGCAAUUCUAGCAAAGAUAAGCACGACAAACACGCAUCUGACAACCAUUAACCAUGAUGGGAUGAUUAAGUUAGAUGAAUAAUAGAUCCAUUAAGUGAAACGGGGGUGUGAGUCUAGCCAAGCCAACCUGCAUGGUAGGGGACGGAAAUCUGAGAGCGGAUCGGACGGCGGAGGCAAUGGCGUCGAUGUCGGUGCCGAUGCACUGGGCGCGGCCGUGGACCACCACCUGGGGCGUGUACAGGGUGUCGAGCCGAAGCGACUCCACGUACGCCUUCUGCCGCACCGUCCAAAUGCUGGAUCCAAAAGGGUCCCGCCACCCCCGGUAAUCCCAGUACUCGACGUGGAACCCCAGCACCGCCACAGGGGGCAGGUCCUCUCGGAGCUCGCCACGGCCCAGCCGCGAUAACACCGCCUCGGCCUCCGGGGACGUCCCGCAUCCCUGCGAAGAGAAUAACUCCACCAGCACGGGACACCUCCUCCGUAGUUCCUCCGCCGUCAGGUCCGCCGUAGCGUUUGCCUCCGGCGACGUCGACGGCGAGGAAGCCCCGCAGCCGCGGCCCAAACACGAGAACUGCCACGGCGCCAUCGGUGAUGGUGCGGACCGUGGAGAUACCGGCGAUCGGAUCCGAGAAGCGAAGCAAAGAGGAGAGGAUAGAAGAAACGGGGGUUUUUCCCUUUGGAGAUCUCCGGAGUAUGGCCGAGAGAAGAGAUGCGUCGAGUCAGAGAAGAGGGAGGGGCGAUGGAGCAUUAGAAGCGGAUGCGGGAGUGACAUUUAAGCAGGUGGCUCGGAUCACCUGUUUCCAAUCUCGCACGAAACAGAAAACAUUUGAUGGUGUGCCAAAAUUACCGGACGGCAAUUAGCGGCCGACCUGUGUCGAAGCCGCCUUACGGUCUCCUGGUGAAGUUUCAUGCGACGUAGAAGACAGCGGAUCCGUUCGUAAACGAUGCAGUGGGUGAACCGUUCGGUAGGUGGGAGAGGAACGUGGCGGUAGCGACGGGAAGCCCUCCAGUUUGGCCAUGGCCCAGCCGCCUGUCUAGUCUCAGACACAGCACAGCGAAUUCCCUCAAAGGUCGAUGGCGGACCCACGUUGCAUUCCUCUAAAGGCAGAGCCCGCCGCUUCAUGCUGAGAGGGAGAAAGUAGUGCACCCUGUGGUGUCGGCGAGCUACAUGUGGGUGUGGUGGUACGUCGGUGCGGGGCGGUCACCCAACCGCCAGCUGUAACGUCGCGGUGCCUGGUUGCGAUUGCUGAUCGGUAAUCAGCUGGCCGUGACCAAUUGAUCGGAGAAGUAUCAGAUUCAAACGGCAAACGUGUCUCUCCACCUCUUGAAACGGCUUUUUUUUUUGUGACGCCAGCGUUCUAAACAAUAAAAAGUGGGUAUAUUACUCAAGUCUAUAACGUGCUUUUUUUUCUUUUUUUUUCCGUAGAACAUUUUUAUUGACAAUAGUCUCAAAAUAUACUAUAAAAUUAGCUUUUUUAAAAUAAUAUUUUAUUUUAUUUUAAAAAAUUACCCUCGUAAAUAUAGAUCAUAAAAUGAACUUCGUGUUAUCAAGAUAAUUUAUAAAAAAAUCUUAUCAUUUUAAAUUAAUCUAAUUUUAAACAUAUAAUUUUUAUUUUUUUUUAUAUCUUAUUAUUUUUUUUAUUAUUUUUUAAGAUCUUCAUUCCUAUAUAACUUUAAUAUCUAUCCAAUAUUUCAAAGGCUUAAGUAUAUAAUAGACUUCCAAUUACAUAUAUAUAUAUAUAUAAAGAAUAUUUUUGUAUUUAAUUUUUUAAGUCAUUUUAAAAAUACUUAGUUUGAUUAAACUAUUUACUUUUAGUAUUUUCUGAAUAAAGUUGUGUACUAAAUCUUUUCAAAACUCAAUCAAUAUAUUUUUUUUAGACUAUCUUAACAAUCAUUGAGAUAUAUUUUUGAAUAUCUUAAUGUUAAUAAUAUAAGAUACCUCAUUUAUAUUAAUCAUUUUAAAAUUUUUAGUAAGAAAUUUCUUAGAUCAGUACAAUAAACCAAGAUUACUAUUGCCAUAUAAUAAACUUGCUUCCAUUGAUCUUCAUAUAUAAAUAUCGAUCAAUAAUUUUUAAAUAUGAAAAAAUAAUGAUAUCAAAAAAAUUUAUAUAUCAUUGUAUACAAAUUUCUUUAAAGUCAUAAAUAAAUUUCUUAAAUUUAUAUACCAAAGUUUAUAUUUUUUUAUUUUCUUUGUGAAUCAUUUAGAUUAACCCAUGUAAAUCUAAAUUCUUAUAUAAAAAACUUAUUUUCACAUUCAUAUAAUGUAACUAAAAAAUUAUAAUAUGCUACUAAUAUCAUGAUGACUCUUAAUGACUUUAUUUAAAAAAUAAAAUAAUAUUUCAUUAUAAUUGAUGUAUUCUUUAUAUAUUGUUUGAUAUUACCUUUUAAGUCAUGUUAAUGAAAUAGACUUUUUACCGUUAUUGACUAAUUCAACGAGUUCUCAAACAUUAUUUUAGUCCAUUGAUUUUGACUUUUUUUUAUUAAAUCAUAUCACUUUUCAGAAUUAUUACUUUCCAUAACUUAUGAAAAUAAAUAGAAAUUAUUUUGAUUUCUAUAUCAUAAUUUAAUUGUUAUAGAUAUACCAUAUAAUAAUUUAAAAAUGAUAAAUAUCUUUCUCUAUUGUUUUAUUCCAAAAAUUAUCGAUUGUGAUUAUUCUGCAAGUUCAUCAACAUCAAUAUCAAUAUUAUGUGAGAGUUUACUAAUUUUAUUUUUAUUAUUUAAUUUUAUUAAAUUAUUUAAUAAUUUAAGAAACAAUAAUCUUUCGAAUAUAAAAUGACAAGGAGUAUCAACCUAUAUUUUCACUAUAUCAAAAUUAAUUGUUUAAGAUUUUUCAUUCUUACUGAUUUACUAUUUUUUAGGAAUCCUGGAUUACCAUAUUCAACUAUCAUUGUGUUAUGAUUAGAACAAUAAAAUAUAUAUAUUUUUGAAAAUUUUUGGAUAAUCAAUAAAAUUUUAGAAAUAGUCAUUGAAUCUAAUUUUUUUUCAUAUGAAUUAAAGACCAUUAUCUUUGGAGAAUAAUCCUAAAUAUAUAAAUAUAUCGAGUUGGAAUUUUUACUGGUCCAUAACUCAAAAGAAUUAAUAUAAUUAACUUACUAGGAAACAUAUUUUAAGAUAUACAUAAUCGUUCUUAAAGCUUCUUCUUGAUUUAGGUACAAAAUAAUUUAUCAAACUCCCAUAACAAUAUGAUUUUGCCUUUCAUUAAUAUUGUUCUAUUGGAGCAACAUAUGGAGUACAAAUAUUUUGCUUUUUUAUGAAUCUAGCAAAAGAAUCAAAAAUAUAAUCGGAUAUAUCAUAACUACUAUAAAAUUUAUCACCUUUGUUAGAUAUGAUAUUUUUAACUUUUCUAUAUAAUUAUUAAUUUUAUUUAUAUAUACUUAAAGAUGUCAACAACUUGAUAUAUUAUAUAGUCAUAUAUUAAUAGGUAAUCUAUAAAUGUAACAAAAUAUCUCUCUCCACUAAAAUAUGAAACAUAAAUUGACUCACAAAUGUAAGCAUAUAUAAUCUCUUCAUGAAAUUAUGUUUCAUUUUAAUAUUUGAUUAUAUGAUCAUUGCAAACUUAAGAUUCAUAUUAAAUAUGUACAAACCAUUAUACAAAUAAUAUCCAAAUGUUAAUUGUUAGGAAAUAAUAUCCUAACAAUUCUAGAUUAUAGAUAUAAAAUUCUAAAAUUAUAGGAACAUAUCAUGUAUUCUUGAGAUCCAUCAAAUGAAUAGUCUCUAAGUAUGCGAUAAGUACUAAUUAUUAUUACUUUUACUUAAGAUGAUUCAUUAUAACGAUGAAUAUUUCAUUCUUUUUUAUUUGCAUGAUACAUUAAAUUUUUAUUAUUGGUAAUAUACGUUAAACGUUAGAAUCAAUCCAUCUAAUAUUAGAAAAGGAUAUUUAUAAUAUUUGAUUUGAAACAUACAAAAGUCAAAGUUAUACUUUUUCCUUUCAAACAAAACCUCAUACUUCUUCUUAAUAUUUUUUUCUUAUGAGUUUAUAUGGUAUUUAUAAACUGAAGUGAUUUAGGCUUCAACUUUCUUUUAUUAUUACUUAUUCAUUUCCUCGAGUACUAUUCAAAAUAUAAUUAAUCUUUCAUAUUUUAAUCUUAAUUCUUUUCAAAUACAUAUAUUAAUAGGCUCAUUUAAAUUUUGCUUAUCCUUUUAUUAUAAUAAAUUUUAAAUAAGCCAAACUAAGAAAAAAUAAAAUUAAGAAUAAAUUAUACAUGCAAUAAUUCAACUAUAUUCGUGCUCAACGUUUUUGAGUUGAGGAUACAAUAUUGAAUUCCUUAAAUAUUAUCAUAUUAAAUUUUAAUUAAUUUUUUAUUAAUAUGUCAGUCAAUAACUUAUCAAUAAAUUUAAAUUGAUCUUUAAAUAUUUUUAAUGUGUUACUUAUAGACUAUAAUAAAGUCUAAAUAUUAUUAAUAAUUAUCAUAAAACUGAGUCAUUUAAAUCUUUUUCGAUCAUUUAUCUUAAUUACUUUUUCAUAGAACUUUUAGUAAUUAAGUUUAUGAUCCUUUCAACUAAUUUGAUCAAGGUCUAACAUACCAAAACUAGGAAGUAUCACUAUAGUGAAAUAACAUGAUAUUAAUUUAAAAAAUAUAGUAAUAUUGAUCAAAAAAAUAAUAAAAGAAGUAUCACUAUAGUAAAAUAAUAUGAUAUUAAUGCUUUGAGUUUUUAAUAAAUAUUGAACUAUUGAUAUUAUCUAUAUUUCACAUUUGGAUGAAAUAUUGACAUAUCUAGUAUUUAUAUUAAAUUAUUUAUGAAUGACUAAUAUCAUCCAUAUGGAAUAUUAUUGUUACUUUUGAGUGUAUAACCUUAAGCUAUAAGGAUAUCUAAAACAGUAUCAUCAUACUUCAUCAUAUAAUUAUUAAAAUUAAAUUUUUUUACCUAAAUCUCAUAAUUAUAUAUGUCAUUCUUAAUAUUAUUUUCUUGAAUAUCAUUUGAGAUUAGUUUUUAAUAUAAUUUUAUAAGUUAUUGAUCUAAGAUACUUCGAUUGCUACAAAACCAAUAUAAUAAUAUAAAAUAUAGUUUAAAAUAUUUUAUAAAUAAUAAAAUAUUUAUUAUAAUUUAUAUCUCACAAACCUAUCAUCUCAUGUCACUUUGACAACUACCAUUUAGAUAGAACUUAGGGAUAUGAGUUACAAAUAAUAUUCAUCAAGUUUCUUUAAUUUAAUUUAUAUUAAAAUAAUUUAAUAAUAAUUAUAAUUAUAAUAAUUAUUAGACAUUAAUCAACAUAAAUAAAAACUUAUAUAAUAACUAUAAUCAUGACGAAACAUAAAUCAUGAUUUUAUAUAAAAAAUAAAUAUUAUUUCAUAAUUUCAAAUAUAUACAUGUGAAUAACCAAACAAAUAUUUAUGAACAAUAAUUAAAUUUUGAAUUAUCACAUGUAAAAUUUUAUCAAUAUGACAUAUGAAAUAAUUAUAAAAGAAAAUUAUAAUUUAUAUUUUUUUUAAAUUUCGCAUGGAACCCUUAUAUCAACCAACCAUAUUUAAUUAGAUAGACCCAAUAUUGGGUUACCCAAAUUGGGCUCAUAGAUUUGGGUCCACCGUUCACUCAAUUAAAUCUAUCAAAAUUAAAAUUGAUCAAAAUUUGAUUUUUCUCGAAUUCGAUCAAAACUUGAUUGAUUGUAUAUAAAUUCAGUCAAGCAAUCAAAAUGCAAUAAUAAUCAAAUUCGAUCAAAAUAUUUGAUUAAGAUAAAUUAAUUAAUUUUAUAAUUAAGAACAUAAGUCAAAAAUUUCAAUUCUAAAGGGUAAAGCUAUAAUUUUUACUUAGUAUAUAUAAAGGGAAAUUUCUAAUUUCUAAAGGGUAAAAUUGUUAAAAGGAUAUAAAUUAAAAUUAAAUAAAUUUACAAGGGUAAAACUAUAAAUUUAUAAAGAAACCUUAAUGCUAGCCACCCUCGCAGUUGCUGCCACUCGCGAUGGGGUGGUUGUCCUCAUACGGUCAAUUGGUAACCUCGCUAGUUGUUACACCCUGUUGCCACGUUCCUCAUCGGUGGAACGUCUUCGCAGUGCUUCGCUAAUCGAGCAUUGUCGAUCGUGUGAUUGUGCACAUGCACUGAUAGGCGAUCUCCAUGGUCGCCGCAAUGUGUGACUAUGCAUGUGCAUCCUAUUGUGCAACUGUUGGGAAUUGCUACCUUCGAUGUACAGUUGAUGUCGAUCGCGGCUAACAAACACUGUCGCGACAGUGCUACUGCAGCCAUUACAUGUAAUGACAUUAUGUAGCUGCCAUAACUACCACAAGCAACAAUGCUGCAUAGCCAUCACAAUCGCCACAAGCAAUAACUACCUCAUGACGCUUCCACUGGGUAUGUAGCCAUUGCCUACAUUUGGGCUAGUUCCCAUGAGAGGCCAUUACCUUCAACAAUACUAUCAUCGACAGCAAGCUAUCGAUAAUGGUCUAUCAUUCAAGUAUAAGGAACCUCACAACGCCAGCAAGUAGGCAAUAUGAUAUAUUAGAUAUAAAAAUAAAUCCACAAUACAGACGAAUUGUUCAAAUAUUGUAAAUCAAAACUGAAUAACACCUCUUUACGAGCGAAAGGUGCUAACAAAUAGAUCUAAAGUAUUUGAUUUUACAAGCAUGUCUCUAAUACCAAUUAUAAGCAUAAAAGCCAUUAUUGUGCUAUUGUUAUAUGAAAAAUUUUAUUGCUAAAAUAUGAAAUCAGAUAAUAAUAGAUUAAAUUUAUGAUACGUACUUUUGAUGUAAUUCAGAAAGCAUUUAUCUAAUAUGUGAGUGCACCGUCAUCAGAUCCGAAAGCUAUAGUGAUGUCGAUUUGUAAGGAGAACAAGACAUAUCUUCUCCUCUCUUUUUAUCCUUCAUAGGAUCACUAUGAAUGAUGAAUUAGAGACUAAGGCGAAAAGAGAGAAGAUAUGUAAUCUCUCAAUGAUUGAUUCAUGUGACCAAAGGGAGAUGAGAGAAGAUCUACAAUAUUUCAAUAAUAUCACAUAUCAACGUAUCAACAUAAUUUGUGUAUAGUCUCUAGAAGGUCUUGUCUAUUUAUAUGUGAGAAUAAAUAAUAUAAAAUAAGUAAUUAGGAGAGUCCCUUCCAUCAAGGUCAUCUUCUAAAAUUUUUUACUAUAAUUAGACUUUCUUUCUAUUGACCAAUAAUCGUAAUCAGAAUCUAAUCAUAUCCAUAAUAUAUCUAAUCUAACUACAUAAGGUCAUAAAAUCUAACACAUGCUACCUAUGCUACCCUCUCUAAUGGGGUCAUACUUCAAUUAGCUAGGGAGGAGGUUCGUCAUAGAAAGUAAUAAUACAAUGAAAUUCAUAGGGAAGGAUGAGGGUCAUAGGAAGUAAUAAUACAAUGAAAUUCAUAGGGAAGGAUGAGGGUAAAGGCACGCUCGAAGGCCUAAACGACCCUCAGAAGGAAAUAACAGAAAAAGGGCAAACAUAAUAGGACAGAAGUGAGAGUCUCGUUGAAAGCAAAAGACGACCAUGACAAGAUCAAGAGUAAUUUUUUUUUAAAUAAAAAAUAUUCUAUAAGAAUAAAAUAAAAAUAAAAUACUCUACAUGAAAUUUAAUUUGUUUUUUUUUUUAAAUUUGCCCAUAUAAAUUCGUAAUGAAGGUAGAAAUGCUUUUGAGUUAGAGCGCUAACUUCGCAUGCGAUCGCAACAAAAACAAUUGUCAGCAGCUCUGAACCGACCCAUGGGGAGUUAUGAAGGAGAUUAUUAUACCUUUGACUCGACGACUUCUUAAAAGUCAGCACAAAUCGCCAAUAUCUGCCCAACCAUUUCCAAAAGCUGCGACCGCAAGAACUUUCAACCUCAACAAGUGAUCAUGGCCAUGUUACUUCCAGCGUGGAAGAAGGCGCUUUCCCUCGGAAAUGGGUCUAUCUGCCUGAUAUUUCACUUCGUCGCUGAUGGUUUCCCGUCCAAGUUGCAAAUAUAAUAUCAGGAACACGAAGCCGAAGACCCCAUCGAAACCCCCGUCCCACGUUGUCCGGCAUUAGGUAAUGCCUGCCUGCCUUCCCAUCCGUUGAGUUCCCACUUCUGUUCUCAUAAUGCUUCUCAACCUAAGAGUGAUAAGAUGGCAAGUCAAACAAAGCCACAAGUGGCGGGAUACCUGAAUUAUCCAAGUAGAUCUUGAAAAGUCAGCAUCCCAGUCUUUAUAAGGAUGUAACUGAGGAUUUGAGUUCCAUCGCCACAAAGUUGACGCAGAGAAGAUGACGAGCAACAGCACAGCAUGCAAAAUCCUGUUGCUCUUGGUGGUGGUGGUGAUUACUGGCGAAGAACUUGGAGUCUUGGCCAAGGGUAGUCUGACAUGCAAAAACCGGUGGAGUCCGUGCUUUCGCAGGCAGAUUGUAUGUCCGAAACAAUGCCCGGACGUGAAGCCAUCAGAUCCGAACGCCAAAGCCUGCUUCUUGGACUGCUACUCCCCCAAAUGUGAAGCUACCUGUCGAGGUGACGACACCGUGCCACAAUAACACCAUUUCUUCCACCAGACUAACCCUUUAGUCUCGGCUUUUACUGCAGGUCGAAAGCCCAAAUGCAACGGCGUAGGAUCCGGCUGCUACGACCCCCGUUUCAUUGGUGGCGACGGUGUUGUCUUCUACUUCCAUGGAAAGAAGAAUGAGCACUUCAGCUUGAUCUCCGAUCGAAACGUCCAAAUCAACGCCCGCUUCAUCGGCCUCCGACCCGAGGGAAGAACCCGUGACUUCACAUGGAUACAAGCCCUCGGUAUCAUGCACGACUCCCAUGCUCUCACCGUCGAGGCAACCAAAACCGCCCGAUGGACCGAUGCCGUCGACCAUCUUCGUUUCACGUACGAUGGUAAGCCACUGGAGAUCGCACAAGGCCAUCUUUCCUCAUGGAAGUCGUCCGAAGACAAGGUGGUGGUGGAGAGAACCGGAAGCAGGAACAGCGUUACCAUUACAGUCGAUGCAGUGGCGGAGGUAUCUCUAAGCGUGGUUCCGGUCACCAAGGAGGACGACGAGAUCCACAAGUAUCAGAUCCCAUCCGACGACUGCUUUGCGCACUUGGAGGUUCAAUUCAGAUUCUUUGGUCUCUCUCCCGAGGUGGAAGGAGUUCUUGGACGAACCUACCGCCCAGACUUCAAGAACACAGCGAAAUGGGGCGUGGCGAUGCCGGUGGUCGGCGGAGAAGACGAAUACAGGACUUCAUCACUUGUUUCUCCAGAUUGCAACCGGUGUCUUUUUUCUCCGGAGGCAGAUAACUAAGCGGUGGCUCACUGUUACUCACAGUUGCAGGAUUCGGUUACGGCCAUGUCCAAUUUAUGAUGCACGCAAUGUGUUUGUCACGAGGUCACUGAUGAGACUUCAUAAAAAUGGUGGUGUUUAAUCGAUUGCAGUAAGAUUAGAGGCGAAUAACGAAGAAUCUCACAAAUAUAUGGCCCCGUGCAUUUUACCUUAUUCUCGUGCAUUCUCUGUCACUUGAACCACAGCUAAACAUAAUCAUAAUUUUAAUGCUUCUGCUAAUGUGUCACUGAGCAAACUGUAAAUUUUGAUUGUUAAACUUAAAUAUCAAAUCAUGUUCUUGACAAAACAUUCUAUUACAUGAGCAAAAAACAAUAACUCAAUGCAAUCUUUGUGCAUACAUUAUCAAGAAAUUAAGUUGUCAUAUUCUUCCAUGCAAUCUUAACAGCAAAACCUACCUUCUUGAGAGCAGAAAAUUCUGAUAGGAGCGUUGCUUUUCAGGACAACUAAUGUGUAAUCAAUUCUGUCAUCUUUUCGCCCACAUAUUCUAUCACCAAUUUAAGAAUAAAAAUGGAUGUAUGGCAAAGAAAAAUAACUGAAGAAAAAAGACAGCCAAUGAAGCCGGACCAUCUGAACAACUAGAGGAUAUGGAUUAUAAGCACACUAGAACAGAUCCACAUAAGAAACAACUCAAAUUCUCAUUGAAACAAAUAUAAAGAAACUAAAACAGAGCAUUCUUUUACCUGUUGGGCAAUUAACUACCCCUACCGUAAGAAUGAUAACCUCCUCUAUGAUGAGGCUUUUUACCACGAAAAGAUGUCCUCCCUCGACCAAGAUUCCUAGGAGGACGUUGCGUUCUUGGUGCAUUAGCUAGUGGCGGCCGCCCAAAGUUAUGCUCAUUGCUAGAAAUUGGGGCACCCUGUAUUUGCAUAUUUCCAGAUGUUUCUUGUCCCAAAUCACCACUCCACAUUGACCCAGGAGGUGCUGCCAUAGAAGGCCUCAUUAGCCCACCAAGCCAAGGUAUGUUAGCAGGGGCUUGAAUACUAGGAACGAACUGCUGUUGAAAUGGCAUUCCAGUUGGGAAACUAUUAAAGAACUGGUUUUGAUGCAGCUGAUUGUAAGCUUGAUUCACCAGCUGCUGGCCUGGAAGCAUAUUAACUGGAAAUCCUCCUUGUAAGCCUAUAUGUUGUUGCUGCUGAUGUGGCAAUCCAUUUAGCCAAAGUGCAUUAAGUUGCUGCUGCAACUGCUGUGGAAGAAGACCCAAUGAGCUACUCAUUUGUGCUGCCAGUGGAAUCACUGGUAUUGUGGAAGGAGAACUAACACAUGUAUUUCCAGCUCCAAAAGAACCAUAGUCACUGCAACCAAGAUUACCAGCUAUUACAGGUGGCUGAACAGGACCUGCAACACUGGUCAAAGGUCGGUCCACAACAUCUGGUACAUGAUCAAAUGCAGGGGGGAUAUCCUUGUGUAUACUAGCACCUCUGAAUUUUCUUUUAUUAACAAAUGAUUCUUGAUUUCCUUUUCGCCUAUCAUUAUUCUCCCUCUUUGACAGGCGAAGAGAUUUCUUAUACUCGGUUUCCUUCUCAUCAUCAGAGAAUUCCACUUCUUCAUUGAGCUCUUCGUCAUUUUCACCUGAUGCAUCAUAUGCUUUCCUACAAAGCUCCUUAUGGUUGAUGAUGCAAGUGGCAAACUCCACGACAAAAGAUACAGCAGUACCCACACUGAUCCCAGCAGGUACUUCCAUGUCGGAAUUAUAUCUCACAACAUAGAAGGGAUUUUUUACUGGUCCAAAUAUUUCAUCAACAAAACCUAAAGGCAAUCUCAUUUCUGUUAUCCAAAGAAUGGAACCCUCAUUCAGAGGGUUGUGCUUCUCUGAACCCUCAACAAUAACUUUGUUAUCCAACAUCUGAUAAAAGACAUGAGCAAGGAAACUAAUAUUCAGUCAUGCUAGGAAUCAUGAUAGACAAUGUUCUCUACAGUAGCUUACUGCAUCAACAAGAGCACGUAAAACUAGAACUUAAAUGACAGCUGGCAAAUAAUGUCAUGAUAUACAUAGCCAGAAGUUAUCAGGUCAUGAGUGGGAAACAAAAGCACAAAGCAGAAAAUCUUCCAUAUUGCCGUUAAAAACAUGGCAUAAAUUCUCGUGCUUGUUUUAGAUCCAAGAAAAAGCCGCUACCAAGUUACUAUUUCAUGGACUUUAAGAUUUUCUCUUGACAAUGCUAUCCAUAUUGCCUUUAAACGCAUGACAUAAUUUCUCAUGCUUGUAUUAGAGCCAAGAAAACGCAGCUACCAAGUAGCUAUUUCAUGGACUUCAAGAUUUUCUAUUGACAAUGCUAUUUCAUGGGCAUUAAGGUUCUCUCCUGACAACAGGUCCGAUUACAUACCACAGAGAAUCCUUCAGCAAUUAACUGUUGAUGAAAAGCUACAUUUAUAGAUUAGAUAAAAUCACCAAACUUAGUGUUUCCCAGCAACUAAAAGUGUCAAGGUCAUUAGACGCAUUAAAAAUGACUGGUUGUGCCAAUAUGCAUUUAAUAUCUCAGAUGUGAUGUUUUGCCCUCUUACCGACAACCAUAUAUAAUCAAUUAAAGAAAGGAAUAGAAAAAAUGAAUAAAACAUGUAGUUUUAUGUUGGCAAAGAGUUUGUAGAGAAAAAAAAAAAGCAGGUAAUGUAAUUAGAUAAGUAACUUACAGCUGAAAUUACUCCAACAGGCAAUGUCUGAUGGUGUGGUUCCAAAAGAACUUCAAUUUUAGGAACUGGUGGAAGAUUCUGCAAUCAGUAUUUUAAUUGGUCACAACACCAUGUAAAAAAGUAGAUGGAUGACAAGCAAAUGCACAUAAAUAUAAUAGUAGCAUCAGCGGAUGCAUUGCCACAGAUGAAAUGUGUAGUAAUUGAAAAACUGAGUCCACACAGAAGAUUAUCAGAAAGUUGGACAGAAACAUAUUAUCUCAACCGUAAAUUAUGCUGUAAAGAGGCAAAAUAGAAUUACCAAAAGCAAUUUGAUACCAAUUUGUAGAGAAUUAAACCUUAAGACUUUAGUAUAAUCAAUUAAAAGAAAUUUAUAUGCUCUUAAUUAACUAGAGAUAUCAACUUCCAGAAAGCUUAAUGGCAGAUACAUAUCCAUGUGAGCAACCUCAAAUGGUUAGAAAAAUACAGCUUAUUGUUGUUUUAGACACAAUAUUCAAUAGGCAAAGGUGACUAGUAUGUUAGUUAUUGCAACCUGUAAAACACAUUCAUCGUCUGGAUCCAAAAUUUUCAAGAUAAGUAAAAUAAUAUUUAACUUUCAUGAAUAUCACUAUGACUAGAAAAGCAAGAUAAAAAAGGAAGGUUAAACCUGUAGAACUUAAAUCAACUAAGAACUAUUUAUGUUUGAUAAAUACACAAUGUGGCUAUACAAGUAUAUAAAAAAAAAACAUGUUGACCAUGGCAAUGAUUACUUCAGUGUAAACAAUGAUUUUACAGAUAAUCAUCACAAAACCAACACAUUGCAGAAAACAUCACAGCAGAGAUCUUCCAGCCACCAAAUGUAAUUUUGCAUUAAUUUUACAUCAUCAACUUUUUUCCAAAAAAUAAUCAUCAGAAAACAUGUUCUCAAUUCAACUUAUCCAUCCAGCACUUUUGCCUACUCAAUAGGUGACACUAAAUGUUGGUAUUAUAUAUGAAAAUGUGUUGUUAAUUGAGUACAGUUACUCUGUACUUUUACGUAGAAAAUGAAUGCAAAGGUUUUUUAAAUAUGUUGUGUUAUCAACAGAAGAAUUAUAAAUGGCUGACUGAAAUUCAGCAGCAUCUUAGUUCACAUUCUGAAUUCAAAAAAAUGCAUAAAAGAUUACCUCAACUUCAUUUUUUGACUUGAUGGGCCCUUUCACGACCUCUUCUUCCUCUUCACUUCCUAUAAACAUCUCCUCUCGAUCAGUGUCCCUAAUUUCACCCUCUUCAAUCUCUCCCUCAGCAUCCAUGCCUCUUUCUCUGUUAGAAUUACUGUCAGAUUCAUCGUCGUCGUCGUCGCCGUCAUCUUCUUCUUCACUGCUUGAAGAAGAAGAAGAGUCACUUCUGUCUGUAUCAUCGUCCUCUGCUUCGGACCCAUCCGAUUCCGUUCCACUACUUUCUUCGUCCUUGACCAAACCACUAGCCGCAUGAGCUUCAUUGGCUCCAUUGGCCUUCGUCAAUGCGGUACAUCCAUUAGCUACAUCCCUUUCUUUACUACCACCAGCACCAGAGCUCACCAUGGCCACAUUAGCUUCGCCUGCGUCAAUUUUAGCCGUUGCCUCCGAUGCCGCUCCUUCCAAGACCGUAACAUUAUUAGCGUUUCCAUCAGAAGCUUCUACCAAGCUCACAUUUUGCAUCCUCUCAUCGAUCGAGGAGCACAAGAUCUCUUCUUUUGCCCCAGGAUAGGAUCUUUUGGUUGCAAAAUCAUCAGUAUCGAGAGGACCCGCGGAUUCGACCUUGUUCGGGUCCAAGCCAGUGGGGUCGGGCACCUUGGCUUCGUCCCCCAACAUGAAGAAUUGGUCGGGAUCGAUGAGCCACUCCUUGACGGGGUCGAAGUCGGGGAGAAACGAAUCAAGGUCGUCAAAGUUGAGAGGGGAAGGGGGCUCCUCCCGAUGGCUAAGCGGAGGACUCCACGGCCUCACCAUCGUGGGUCGGAUUAGGACUUCGUUGGCCGGGUGGGGAAGCCGGGGAGGCGGCGGCGCCCAUUUAACGGGAGAAGUGAGGAGUAGUGUUUUCGGCGGGGUUGAGAUAGGAAGGGUUUCACCGGCUAUUCCGUUCUCAUUAGGGUUUAAGGGCGCCCACUGGGAAGAGUAGAAAAGGGUUUAAAGAGGCGUGGUUUUAGUAAUAUGGAGGAAAGAAAAGAUUAAAAAAAUCAUAAAUUAAACUCUGCUGUCAAUAAUUUUACCAAAUAAAUUAGUGACAUUUUCAUCAAAUAAAUUAGCUGAUAUUUUCAUCUCUAAAUUAGUUUUUAUAAAUGAUAAUUGGAUUGGUUCAUCAAUAUCCUUAAGUCAGAAUAAUUCCAUUUUGAUUCUGUGCCAUUGAUUUUACUAUGAUUAUUGAUAUAUUUUGAUUCUCACAAUAAUUUGACAUAAAAAUAAUAAUAAAAUAAAAUUUUAAUGUUUCAAUCUAAUCUAAGAUAAGUGAAUUAAUUACACAUGAUCUUCUCAACUAUUGUAUUUCUAUAUAAAUGAUUAAAGGCAAACAAUAAAAAUCAAAGUUAUAAGAUGAUUUGAUAUUAGACAUGUUUAUACGCUAUUCUUUACAAAAUGUUGCCUGAUCCAGAUAUCCAAUCUUCUUAGAUAAGUCAUUUAACUUAACAGCUGACACUAAUGAAAUAAAACAAAAAAAAAGAUAUAUAUGAACAAUCAAAUGUAGUGAUACUAUAAAAUCUUUCCGGUAAUUGUAUUUUCACUUCCCAGAUUUCAAACGGUGUUUCUUUCUCUCGUCAGCAAUAAAAAUAAAAGCCUUGACGAAUUCUUCUUUCACCAUGAAAAGAACGGAAGCAGCAAAAACACUCUGUACGAUCUUUGUGCCCAUGCCUUUAUAAAAGCCACGCAGUCCUUCGUAACGGAUCAUCUUUAGUAUUGCAUCCCCAGUCCCUGUGAUGGACAAAGACAUUUCCUUGAAUCAGUUCAUUUCACAGCAGCCCAAAGCAUUUAAAUCCAAGAAACCAAGUAAAACGAUAUAAUCUUCAGAGGGCGCAAUCAAUUUAUAACCCACAACUCUUUGAAACUAAAUCCAUCUACGUUCUCUUCCAAAGAUUUGAUCACGGUUUAGUUUGAAUUAUAACCAACCCAAAAUCGAAUCAAUUUGAAAUCGAAAUUGAAUCAGAAGGUUCAAUUCCGAUCCUAUGUUUAGAAAACUGAAACAGUUGGUUUCAUAAUUUUAAAUUAUUUUUAUUAUUUAAAAAUAAAUUAUAAUUUUUAAUAUUUUAAAUUUUAAUUAAAAAUAAUUAAAAAAAAGUGAUAGUUCAAAUCGGAAUUGGAACCGUCGGUUUCGGUUCCAAUUCCAAAACCAGCCCUUAUCGGUUCGGUUUUAGUUUCUGAUUUUGGAAAACCAAAACCUUCAUGAGUAAAACAAAUCAUAUAGAGAUUGAAUAUUGAAAAAAACAUAUAUCGAUAAAUCUUAAAAAUAUAUUCAAAUUUCUUUCUCACAUAAUUUUUUUCUCGAUGUUUAAUUAAAAAUAUUCAUGAACUCAAUCCGUAUUGUGAAACUAUUGUGGAUGCUCUUUUUCAUAACUGCUGGUGAGGUAUAGACUAAGUUGCCAAUCACAUUUUUGUUGCACCAUGUGGAUACCAGUCAGCUGACAGUUCUAAGAGUGGUGUUGAGGAAUUAGGCAUAUGAAGUUGUUUACAUCAGCAUGACAUUAGUUAAUAGCCCUCCCCUAUAAUAAAUUACUUAAUUGUUUAUGUUAGCAUUAUAGAAAUUUGUGAUUGAACAAUUGAAAUUUAAGGAAAGAAAGUUAAUCUAUGCUUCAAUGAUGGAUAUUUGCAUUAAAUAAACUCUCGUGCUCUAAUUCAGUCAAGCUUAAUGCAUAUGAGGCAACGAGGAAUAAAAGGUAGGAAGAAAACAAAGAUACACCAAGUAGGUGGAAUGAACAAACAUGUUCCUGUUAAAUUCUUUUGCAAGAAACAAUGCACAAAUUUCCAUAAGCCUUUAGGAACAAGAAAGAAUAGACCUAAGACCAUAUAAUGGAUGUUAUUAAAAAGCAUUUUUAGAUCGAUAUCGCUUGUGUUGCAGUCACAAGAACCAACUAAGAAGAACAGUUGAAAACACUAAAAGAGGAAUUAAUUAAGACUCAGUUAUGCAAGUAGAAUCGAGGCAUAUAGUAAUUUUCUGCACUCUCACCAGCUGGUGAUUUAAAUAUAUCGACACACUAUCUCUUACGAUCUUUGCGAGCCCAGUAUGUGGUUUUGUCUGGUAAUUACAUGGUUAAUAAGAUAGAAACUUCACCUUUCUAGUCCAGAUGUCUAUUCAUGAUAUGCACACCACUUUCAAAUAUCAACUAAAUUCAACAUGAAACAAGGACUGAUGGUCAAUGCAACAGGAAACUAAUAAUUUUUCCCACUAAAGAAAACGAAAGUUAAGAGACUAACCCCAUGGAACUUGCCUAUUGGUUUCAACAAUUAAAGGUAGUACCUGUGUAUCUUGACAUUGCAUUCCUGCCGAUUUCUUGCUUCGCCUGUAACCUAGACUGCAACCAUGGAAAGAAAAAUGCAUUGGUUGGAAGAAAAAUCAAAUGGAAAAUUUAAGAGGCAAGAGUAUUACUACAAUCUGCAACCAUUUCAUAUCUAUAUACAAAGACAGGUUGUCUCUAAAGACUGCUUGCUGACAAUUAAAUCACUGGAAGAAAUGUAAGCUACUCAACUGAAGGGACCAAAGAUGCCUCAAAACUUCAUAACCUUGGAAAGAAAAUAUGAAUGAAGAAUCUGGCUUCUUUUAUCUCACUUCUCAAAAGAAUUUAAAUUUUUAACAUGACAAUUCAAAAGGCACCAAAUCAAGAAGAUCUAAUCAACUUUUCUUGGAGAAAGCCACAGAAGAAAACCAUUUGUUAGACAAAAUUUAAAUAAAAAAUUCCAGUAACAACAGAGGGGUGUAAAAGUGCAAUUUCUAUCCAAUUAUAAUAUUACUUUUAUGUUUUUUAGAGAUACCUAAGGUUCAUCACACAAGGAUUUAUCAUCUAUCACCAAUAACAGGAACCUGUUUAUUACAGUGUUGCUGGAUCCCAUACAAGGUGGGAUCCGAAUUUGUUUAGGGCCAUCACUAUUCAGAUCAUUAAAUCAUACAAUCUGCCAGCUUUCUUUAGAUAAUUUUGUUGUUAAUAAAUGUUCUAUAUUGUCUUUCAUACUUUAUGUGGAUUAAUAGAUAAGGUACCACAUUACUCUCAGAAAUCAAGAACAAAAAAGAGUUAAGUAUACCUUUACAACUAAUAAAGGAUAUGUUGCCAGAGUUGCCCCCAAUUUUGCCAAUGCCCCCAGCAAGAAAACCUGUGCAUGCAAGGAGUCCAAUAAGAAAGGUUAAAUGUAAACAAUCUUCAUCAAAUUUUGCCUCCUGUUCAAUAUUAAUCUUGUGCUUGACGAGUUUAGCACAAGGAUAACAACUAGAAAAUCGAAAUUCUUUAUCAGCUAGAUGUGCAUCAAAUAAAUGUUGCUGAACCUCUAAAGCAGUAACAUUUUUAUCCCCAUGCUUAGUUCCAGUACGCUUUGACCGCAGGUGCUUUAGUGAGGUUUCAUAAAUCAUAAACUGGAUUGAUGGGUUGCAUACCUGCAAGUAUAAUAAAGUCAAUACAUUUGGCUUCAAAGUUCGAUGUUACAAAAGAUGUUAGACAGUGUGGCCGGUCAUCAAGUCUACUGACCAUGAUAAGGGUUGGAAUGAGUCCUUUCCAGAAUCCUUUUAUGCCUGCCUCAUGAUAAACCUCCCUCACCUGUCAAAGAAAUCCAUCAUCUUAGCCAAAGAUGCAUGGAAUUCAAGUUCGGUGAACAACAUCGACCUCAAGUAUCAUCAGGUACAACUGUGAUGUAGCCAUGGAAGUCCAUAUUCAACACUAUUUCAAGACUAGAUUGUCUACUAUGUUGUACCUGGUACCAAGAUAGUAUCAUUAGGUACUUAAGUUUUCUUUUCCAUUUAAUCAACAUUUAUCAAUUUGGACAGUGUUAGAACUUGACAGUCUGUCGUAUCAUCCACAUCAGGUCUAGCUUCAAGAGAAAUGCAUAUACCACUAUACCUCCGUAAUCUACAAAGUACGCCAAUGGUGGGUUCUGCGCAUUGAGACAAAAUCUGCUUUUUAUCUACUCAAUUGUAGAUUUAAUCUGGAAUACUUCUAAUUCAUGUCAUAGAUAUAGGUCAACUUCUAGCUAGACCAAAAAGAAAGCAAAUUUCUGUAAAUAAUUGUUCCCUCAAACUUCUUUCCCGUAUAAUUAUGUAUAAAGAAACUGAGGGUUUACUAACCGCAUGAAAUGUUCCAUAUGGACGAGGUUUCAUCAAAUCAAGUUUAACUAGCUCGUGCUCCAUAUAGGUGGUACCUGCAAAUUCCCUCAAAAUAGCCUCCUUUCUAGCCUCCAUGAUUUUCCUCUCUGCUUGUGUAUGUGUCUGAAAUGAUGUAAAGUUCCGACAUGCAUGUAUUAAUAGAUGAUAAUGACAAUAAUGAUAUUUAGUAAAAUGGAAAGUGGAGGAGAUGACAUGCUAUAUUUGCAUUUAGAUCGAUAUGCACAUAAGUUAUGUUCUAAACUAUAGGUUGUAAACUUGGUUAGCAACCAGAGGAGCAAGAGAAUAAGUAAACUUAGAAGUACAUAAAAAUAUGGGUCCACGGUGAUUGAUGAGAUAAAAGUGAAUCCAGAUUGUAAAAUGGAAGAUUCUACCUGAUGCAGCUCCAGAUUAAUGCUAACCGGUCAGCUUGUGCCAAGAAGAAACCUUAUCAAACAAAUUUAGUCAUCAAAAUGAACAAGCCAUAGCUUACGUGUCUUUACUUUACCCCACAAAACAACACAUUCAUCAUAAAAAUGUCUAUUCUAGAUUAUAAGGUUAACAAUAUAUCGUAUAUUUCAAAGUAGGCAGCGAUUUGGUUUUUCUAUCGAGUUGAAAGGCUACAGCAACUCAGUGCAGGAAGUAAUAAGAACAAAAACCCAUAUUCUAUGUCCUUGGAGAACUUUAUGAUGAAACCUCUGCACAGGUAAAAUUAAACAGGUUUCCAUCAUUAUUCUAAUAAAAGUAUGAAGCAAAGUGAUAGAAACUUAUAUUCAUUAAAUUUGCUAUCAUGCAUAUUGCAUAGGACACCAGCAUCUCUCGUCGCUCUCUUCUUCACUUUACAAAAGGAAAUCCCAUCCGUGCAUGCUUUAAAAAAUAGUUUAAUUGCAUUUUAUAAAUAGUUUUGAUUUUAUGUGGACAGAGCGAAACUAUGUCCAGUUAAAUGAGAUUAUAGUUGAGAAUCUUGAGAUGAUCUUUUACAUCAAAAUAGAAAACAUUGAUGAAUACUGGUAAUAUGAACCAUGCAAUAGCUACUUGCUACAUAAGGCUUGCAGUGACAAAAAUCUAAGAAUCUAAUCAAGUUGGUAUUACACAUGCCUGCAUACGAGUGACCAGAACCCAUAUUGGAUUAGUUAGCAGCACAUUCAAGGACCUGCAAAAAUCAAUAGAGAAAAUAAAUACUCCUUGAAAGCAUUAUCAAUCUCUGUUCUGUAGCAUGCUAAAUUCAUUAGAUCUAACCAUCAAACAGAUAAUGUCAUGUAACCUCUGGAAUCAUUUACCGUAUCACAUCAGAGGAUAGUAACAUUACAAGGAUGUGUGAUAGGAUACAUGGAACCAAGAAGCACUAAACGAGAAGUUUGGAGCUUAGCUUCAACUUGCCAGCAUAUAUACCUUGAAUAAACUAAUCUUUGUGCAACAUCAAGGAUAUUUUCAGGACUGGCACAAGCCUAUGUCAUGUUGGAAAUAUUCAUGAUCACUCUUUGAUUGCUAACAUGUCAACACUCUACCAACUGGAGUUAAGGCUCUAGCAAAGGUGGUUUGGCCAAGAAUGACCCUACCUAGACCCAUAAGAAAUAAUUACAACCAACCUAAUUUUUAUCCAUUUCAGCCGAUGCAAGAAGUUAAAAGAGUAGAGUGCAAACCGAAUACUGUAAUAUUAAGCUGAUGCAAAGAAGUCCAGAAUAAUCAGAUUUCCUCGGCUUGGAAAGUGGAUAAAAAGCCAAAUUCCAUUCAGAUGUGGUUGGUUGAUAUAUGUCAACGAAGCCUUUGAAAGUUUGUAGGCAGACCUGGUAACCCAGAUUGGUUAAACUAAAGAGAGGAGGAGCAUCUGAGUUCUGUUCGAGCCCUUGUCUUCACAUACCAUUAGAAAACACAUAGGUCCUAAUUAUGGCAAGCAGAAUACCCACCCUGCAAUAGCUGCGACGACAAGCCAAGAGAACAUGCCAACAGUACCAUCACCAAGCCCUUUCUUCUUGCGUGCAGCGGCCGCAGCCUCUGCCUCAUUCUUAAGUACCUGAUAGAAGUAAUAAUAUAUUCCCUGGAUAUGGCCACCAUCGCAUCAUCUUCAGAUAAAGUGGAACAAACUGGUAAAGUAGCAAAUCAAGGUCGGACAAUCGUGGAUGGGGCAAUCCACGAAAUGAUCGACCUCAGUUAAAAUUGCGAGAGUGGAGAAAGUGUGAGGAUGGGAUGGAAUCGUCGACCGGAAGUGGAGAUGUGGAUGUUGAGUGGGGAAGGCGAACCUGAGACGCGGCGGUGCCCACGAGAGAUGGCUUCAGACCACUGUACAGCCCUCCCCAACCUUCCAUUUUAAAGAGCUGCAAUCCAAUAGUCAAAAGGAAGGAAACGGAAUCAGCGGAGGAAGAGUAGGUCCUGCGAGGUCAAGGUAGGAGGAGCGAGGAGACCUGAAGGAUCUGGUAGAUGGUUCCGCCAGCGGAAGAUGGUGCCGCUUCUGAAGAAGAGAGGUCGCCUCCGCUCGCGGCCGCGGCCAGCGACGUCUUCUUGGCAAUCCUCUCGGUCUGUUGACGAGUGUUCACCUGUAGGCAUUAACAGGUGAAGAAGCGAGGGCGGGCGCGACAGUGGCAAGCCAACUCAGGGAUGAAGCGGCAAACAGAGGGGAUAGAGGGAGAGAGAGAGAGAGAGAGAGAGAGAGAGAGGCGCACGGUCUGUAGAGGAUAGGUGAUGAUCUGAGCUAUCAUGCCUCCGCCGGCCCCGGCUAAGCCGUUUACCAAAGCGUUCGACAUGCUUCGCGGCCUACAGUGGGCGGCUUAAUUAGGAGUUUCACCGGCGCGCAGCUCCGCCACCAGGACGUGUCAGUCGAGCACCCGCGUCGUCGAUACCCUCAUCUGCAACUCGUCAAGGGGUCUGAGCAGAGUCAGUCCUCGGCACAGAAAGCAAAGAGUGAGAAGGUGAUCGGCAGUGUUUUCUCGGUCCAGUCAUUUUCACAUCAUUAUGGAUAACUUCAUUCAGCCAUAAACAAAAUAGGCUAAAAAUGGAAGCCCAUAUCAUCAUAGAUUAAAUUCCAAUCGUAAAUCUCGUCGGAAUUGUUCUGAUAGGAAUUAUUACCUUAUCAAUCCCAUUCUUUUUCAUUCAACCAAUUAGCUCGAAUCAUAAUCCGUGCACAUAUUGAGACUGCUCUAAGCCCAUUGAUCUUUUCAUUUUCCGAGUUACUUUUUUUUUUUGGUGGUUAAGAUUCAUGAAAAAUGUAAGGAUCCGUACGCAUGAAAUUCUCAAAACCAACAAUCUAUAAAACAUGGCUCGAACAGAUAAAAUAAAAUUUUAAAUCUUUUUUUAAAACGAAUACCUUGGCCGACAAUAUUUGAGAGCUCACUAAUCCAAUGGUGGAGAAACAAUCUUGCCACGUGAGAGGAAACUGUCCUCUAAUAGAUCUGAAAUGUAGCACCGGGUGAACACACAAUAUAUACUACCAUUACAGAAGCAACACGUAUCAUUACCAUUCUCUUUAUCAUGCUGUAUCACUGAAAAUAGUAAAAGUAUCAUGCUGGAUCACUGAAAAUAGCUCAAGUACGCAUAUACAAGAAAAAGAAAACUAGAAUAAACUAGUAGAAUAUCCGAUGAACCUUCUUCCUGUUCAACAUAACAGGCAACCCUUGCCUUAUUACCAUGAAUCGAUAUAGAGAUCAACUGCAACAAUAUAUGAACAACAUCAAUCCUUCACCAUUUCGUCCAACUAAUAAGAACUAAACUGAAACUACUUAUGUUGCACAAACAAACUACACAUGGCUAUACCAACCUACCGGUUUACAUGGAGUACCAUAUAAAGAAAAAAAAAAUGAAACACAAUUUCUAUCCACAAUUGAUUCGUCAUGUGCUAUGGAAACUUCAAAGGUCAUGUAUCUUCUUGCCUGUGCCGAUGGAAACAAAUAUAACACAAUCACGAGCCUUAAGUACUGACUGGUUCUUAGUUGCAGUCUAAUCCACACUCUUCCAGAAGAGGGCCAUCUGAUUUUGGUAGGAAUGGAUCGAUCCGUACCCAAAGCAGAGAGAAAAUUGAUGCGAGAAGAAUGGACCAGACAAUGACAAUGGUAGGUGUCCGGUUCUGCCGACCAACAAGACCUUUGAGGAAGGGAUACAGGUGAACAAUCACCCAGAAGGAGAAAAAGAGUUUGCCGAACAGAGGUCCCCAUGAUUCAUAUCCGUUGUUUAUUGCAUUGGAUACACCGGCUACCACACCAAUGAAGUUUACGAUAAGCAGAGUUGUCGGAGGGAUAAGCAAAGUGGUCCACUUGAAUGUGUACAACUCAGAGAAUUCUUCAUCAUCACCAGCCUUUGUUGUCACAGUGAAAUUGGUGUCUAUACCAGCAAGGACCUUUAAGAGCCCCUGAAACACAGCAAAGAGAUGCGAGGAAACACCGCCAAUAACCCAAAACUGCUCGUUUCUCCACCAGUCAUCAAUGGCAACACCACUCCAUCUCAUUUCCAGGAUACUUGUUGCAAAGAUACAAAUGAAGAGUGACAGGAACCAAAGACUUGCUACAUUGCUAAGCUGUAGGUUGAACAUGGUAUUAGCAUCAAAAGGUUAAAAGAAAGGAAUAUCAUUUGAAAGAUGAAAAUGCUAUCGCACCUCAGGGGUGAUGAAUUUCCCAGUGAGCAAGCAAACAGCAGGCAAGGUACAGUAAGCCAAAAGAGGAAUUGAUGUCCAAGGAUAUAUGGUAGCAUUGAUGUACGAUAGCCGCUCCAACCAUUUAAGACCACCUCCAUAUCCAUACCAGAGAGGACAAUGUUUGCUCAAGAAAAUCUCCACAGACCCAAGAGCCCACCUAAGGACCUGGUGAAGACGAUCUGAUAGAUUGAGAGGUGCAGAACCUUUGAAUGCAGGCCUUGCUGGUAUACAGUAUAUAGACCUCCACCCAUGGCAGUGCAUUUUGAAACCUGUCAAUAUAUCUUCUGUCACUGAACCAUAGAUCCACCCAAUCUGUAGCGAACAGAUAGCAAGUUAGAAAUACGUCUUUAGAUACCAAAGAAUAUAUAUUUGGAUACUGGAGCAUACACAUUUAGAUACCACCGCGUAAAACCUAAAGAAAUGAGACCAAAAGUUUACCUCUUUUCCCCAGUCAGUCUUAUCUUCAUAGCCACAACUAAUAACAUGGAUCGCUUCCUUCAAUAAAGAGGCAGGACUAGCUUCUUUUAAUGUUCCACCAUUCUCAAGGAGAGUAGAUGCCACAAAAACAGGAGACUGCCCAAAUUUCUUUUCUAACUUCUGCUGAGAUGUCAUAUUUAUCCUUUCAAUCUCAUUUCCUGUGAAUGUGCUAACAGGUUAGCAUGUUGAAAUUCUCCAAAAACAAUAUAGAGAUAGGAACACUUCUGAUGUAUUUUCAGACAGCUGUACAGUAAGACAUUUUCUACGAAUUAGGUUGCCUAAGGUAAUAAGCAGAACAACUAAGGCCAAAACCUACACAAGAUAAAGAAAAAGGCAAUAAGAGCAUUGUAAUCUACCUCUGAUAUAACAAGAAUUGCAUCAUUUAAUAAUUUUGCUAUAUGGAUUAACCCUUUCUGUCCUAUUUUAUUAUGUUUAUUCUACAAGAAGACAUUAAAGAAUGAACAUCCAUGCUACACCAAAUAAUGACCAAGUGCUAACACAAUAGAGAGCCUCCUAUGAUGCAGUGCAUAUAGACUCACUAGGGCCUAUACUCUCAACUAAUUGGAGAUGACUAAAUGGAUAUUUUCCCAUCAAUUAACACUACCAAAGCAAAACACCCUCUGAUAAACAAAUAGUUACUGUGUCCUUUCUUGCUGAUUAUGACCAAAUGUCUACUAUAAAUCCAAGAAGAAAAUCAUAAAUAUGAGCAGGUUGUCAAACUAUACAAGUGCUGCAAUCAUCUGAUCAACAUACAUCAUUCGGUAAUGUAACGAAAAAUAUUGAUUGAUCAGUGGCAAGCAUAGGCAUACCUUUAAUGCCCUCUUCAAUACCCUCCAGUGCAAAUACCGGUGCUCCAGUAUCGCCUUUCCUGGAACCAAUCUUAUUCUUAUCCUGUUUAGCUUUUGCUGCUUUCUUCUUUUUCCUGCUAGAACAACAGCAUCCACAGCAGCACCAACUAGGCCAGCAAUUGCAAGUCCUAGUUGGUGGCUUCUUGGAUUUUGGAGCAUCAAAUCCAUAGAGUGCCUGUCUUCUGAAUACACAUCCAGUGCCCACAUAAAUAGGCCCUUGAAUCCCAUCUAAACCUUUCAUAUUGAUCUGCAUCAUGACUUAUUUUACUUUUCUAUGCAUGUUGGGUAUAUGGACUUUCAAAGAAGAAACUGUGUGACAAUAUUGAAAACUAAAAUUAAUGAAUAUGCCCCAAACGCAACAUGCUGAUACUUACAUCAAAAAACACUAUGUUCCGAUUAGCAUAGCGAUCAUGUCGAUCAAUACCAUCGAACCUCUGAGGGAAUUGCACAUAGCAAACUUUCUUUCCUACUUGUGGGUCCAUCAUGAAGCACAUUGCCUCUCGUAUUGCCUUACUAUUGUUAAAGUAAUGGUCACAAUCCAAGUUCAACAGAUAAGGUGCAUUUGUAAGUACAGCAGAGACUCUAACCUGUCACAAAAGCAAUAAAAACAAACAAGUAGGCCUCAAACUACUGUAACAACAAUGGAAAAGAUUAAUCAAAAGGCAGUCGCUUACCAAAGCAUUCAUAGCACCAGCCUUUUUGUGAUGAUUAAAACCUGGCCUCUUUUCUCUAGAGACAUAAACCAAACGUGGCAGUUUAUUCCCUUCCACAUCAUGCCCACCACUUUGCCCCAAAAAGACCUAAGUUUUUAUAAUGUCAGAAAAAAUAUCAAUUGAAUUUCAAAAGGGAAGCUGGCUGUGUUACAACUGCAGUAAACAAAACUGAAAAAAUAUAACAUUUACCUGAAUCAUGCCUGGAUGGUCACGGACAUUAUUUCCAGGCCAUGGAGUUCCAUCCUGCAUUGUCCACCCUUCUUCUGGGACUUUUUGUGCUUUUGCAACCAGGGCGUUUAUUCGCACCUUGAAUUCCUCAUAUUCUCUCUGCAAACAGAAUCAAAUUCAGUGAAACUAUGACCUAUAUACAUAUUUUAUCAAUGAAAGAUUAGUAAAACUUUUAAUACCUUUAUUGCUCUCCGUUCUUUAACAAAUGAAGGAUGGACCUUUUCCUUCAGAUAAUCUAUCUUUUGCUGAAGAUACCAUUCUGGGGCACGGGGCUCGACAUUGAAUUUCUUACAAAAAGGAACCCAUUUCUUUGCAAAUUCAGAUGUUUCUGAUAAUGCUUCAAAUGUCAACAUAGCAGCACCAUCAUCAGAAACAUAGCAAGAUACUUUUUCAACAGGGUAAUCUACUGCAAGGAUUGAGAGGACAGUGUUUGCAGUGACCAAAGGAGGUUCCUUCAUUGGAUCAACUGUACUCACAAAUAUAUCAACUGGAGAUAGUUGAGAAGGUUUCCCCUCCUUUUCAUACCUAAGAUAAACAAAUAGGCAAAUAGUUGAGUGAUCAACUAAUCAUCCAAGUAACAUGAACAAAAACGAUAAUAUGACAAUCUCAACUACCUUAAUGACAAUCUGUCAAGAUAUGUUUCCCUUUCAAUCGGAAGCCACUUGGGAAACUGAUCAAGAAUCCAUGAAAUAGCAAACCAGAUUUCGCAGAUGACAGAUAUGAGCCACAGAGGAUAUGCAUCAGAUGCAGGGUUUGUGAUUCGAAAAUGAAAGAAGAACCCAACAACCACGAGACGAAUUAUGAUGAUCAUCCUGUAUGGGUUUAUUUGGCUAGAAGGUACUGGCAACUUUCUCGACAAUGGUUGUCUUGCUUCAUCCAUUCUACAGAAGAGAAUAAAAUAUUACCACAAAUUUAACAAAUAAGUCAAAUGUUUUUUUAUAUAAAAAGAAAUUAAAUAUUAAAAUACAACAAUCAUGAUAUACAAGGUGCCCUUUUAAAUUAACCUUUGCCCACUCCAAAAAUAUCGCCAUUGUCCCCAUGUUAAAUUGAAGCCAGUUAAACUUUGUAAAUUCAUCUUAAACAUGAUGGAACAUCCCAAAUGUAUGCCUUUUGACUCCACUUGAUACUUUAAUUGAUAAAGCCUUGUCGAAGAUACAUGAUUUGCUAAAAUUUAGUUGGCCUAACUUGUAAAAGCUAUAUACUUGUUAUAACUCAGCCAGAAACAAUCAAAACAUUCCACACUUUUAGAAUAACCAUAACCAGUUGGAGUUGUUUAAAGAAAUAUGAUUUUGCAAAAAAUCAUCUUGUAACUAGUUUUUAUUCACAGCUUCCUCCUGUCACAAUGGUCAGUUUUAAUGUUGGAAUAAUUGGUCACUAAAUGAGAGAAGACAUAUAGAUUUCAGUUUAAAUGGCACUGAUACUAUUGGUAAGUCUCAAUUUUCACAGAAAGUGAAUCAAAAUUUAAAAAAUUGUAGAUGUGCACUAUGAAAAUAUGAAACCAAUAACUCACAAAACAUGAAUAUUUUAAAUUAUAGAGAAGUACAUUAUGUACACUGUUCUGUCCUGAACUUAGAAUAGAAACAAAAGGAUGUGUGGGGCAUAAAGUAUAUGUUAUCUGUCAAACAUAACUUAUGGGGCCCUGCAUUCUGGAAAGCUUUCAGUUCAUGUAGUCAUGGUACUAUAGCUUACUGAAUAUGUAUGUAUGUAUAUAUAUAUAUAUAUAUAUAUCAACAAUUGCAUUCGAAAUACAAUUUGAUAUUAACAAACCGAAAAAAAAAAAGAAAUCAAGAAUUAAUUGCACAAUAUCAGACUUGGGCAAUGGACUAGAACAAGAUUUCUAUAAUGAUGAUGGAUGCUUAACAAGUUACGGAGCUUACAAUGGUAAAUCUGAUUCAUCACCAUCAUUAUUCCAAUCUCUACCGCCACCAUCACUCCUAGUCAUAUGCGUUUUCUCUUGCUUCUGCUUCCAAUUCUCCAUUCUCUCCUUCCAGGCCACACUUCCAUAUCCAUAAGCAGCAAGAUCCUUAGAAGGAUCCAUGGAUCUAGGUUGCACUGCAAGGAAAGAGCUUUUUCAUUAACCUUGUGGUGGACUAAAACAACUGAUAGAUCAACAAUAUGAUCUCAACUUGUCAUUUUACAUGACUAUUGCUAAAAAAUAGGAUAGGUAGAAGAUCCUUGUAUUAAUAAAGAAUUCCAGUACCUGGAAGACUGGGAUCUGAAAAUGGAAGUGGGUGAAUUCUUUUUCCUCCCCCACCCACAAAAGAAGGGACGAGUGCAUGCUGUUCUGGAGGAAUGUCAUCGACCUGGAAUGGAAAUAAGCCCAUGCAUCAGAAGCGAGAUCUCAGAAAGGCAUGUGGGAAAAAUCACAAAAACAUGAGACUCAUCUAAUUGGACGCGCCGGAAAAGAAUUAGGUAAAAGGGUUUAAUUGAGUGCAAAACAUCGAGAGAGAGAGAGAGGCGUGAGUUCAAGUACCAUCUCGCCAUUGGUGAGAAGAGGGACUUGAGGCAUUGUAUGAACAACAUAAGGCGUGUUCAAGUCACCACGCCGGCCAUAGCUCAUGUGGCCCUGCAGCAUGGCCUCGGCCAUGUACUGCGAGUCCUGCUUCUCUCCCGGGACGAAGUUGAACUCGUUCUCGAGAUCAUCGACGUCAUCCUCUUCGUCGUCGCCAGCCACACGAGGGCACCCUGCAGAAAGAGGAAGACGAAAUGCAACAAUCUGACACGAGAAGGAUCAAAGAAUGGAGAGAUCCACUGCAAUCGAUGCGGUUCCGUAGUUAUACCCUUGAGCCGUUUGAACCGGGUCUUGCACUGGGGGCAAACCUGGUUUCCCUCUCGCCGCUCGUACUCAUAGCAAGUCCUGCAAACGGGGAAGGCGCAUUCAUUGCAAGCCACAAAGAGAUCCCCGUCGACGGUGAGGCCGACGUCGUCGCCGCAGAUCUGGCAGAUUUGGCCGCUCAGCUGCUGCAAUGGCUUCGGCUGUGGGCAGUAUCAAGUCCAAACAUCAUCCUCCGGAUUAUCUGACGACAAGAAGAAAGAAAACAGAGGAAGAGGCACGUACCCCUGACUCUCCGUCGCGGCGGAUGACCACAAGCUCAUUCCGGUUGUGAGAACCGGCGACCAAACCAGCGCUCGCCUCCAUUCACUGUUCGCUGGUGAUGAUCUUAUCUAAUUAGAUCCAACGGUGGUCCAGUGCUGGUACGCCCAGCCCGACCGGACAACUCAACUAUUUCCGCUCCUUUGGGGGCGGAACAAUCACCCGAGCGAUCCGACCUCCUCCCUUCUCUCCCCUCUCCCUACCUACUCAGGCCGUGAGAGUAGUGGACAGGGGAGGAGAGCAACUCUCUCUCUCUCUCACUCCCUCUCUCUUCUUCCUCCCCGCCUUAUCAAUUGCUCUUAUUGUUCCUUGCUUUCCACUUACAAUGCUCACAGCUGGAUCGACUUCUUUAUCAAUUUUCUGUUGGCUGAUUCAGUAAAAAGGCCAUCGGAGGGGGAAACUUUGGGAGAUUAAGUACGAAGCAGGCAUUAGGCGAUGACCGACACAGUUAGUAGGCAACGAUAGCGGAGUCUGCGAUAAACAACGGCCUCAAUCAAACACCAUCCGCCAGUUGUUUAUUUAUUUUGCCUUUUUCCCUCUAUUUUAACAAGUCUGCCGACACAACCCUCGCGUACAGCUAAGAAAGAGAUAAGAGGUGGGUGACCGAGAGGCCUUUAACCGCAGGGGUGGAAAGAGGCUCAAUGGUUAUAUCUGCGGGAGGGGAGGGGGCGGGGCGAAGAAGAAGAAGAAGGGAAUGUGGAAAAGGCAAAGACAGAGACUUAAAGCGGCAGCCAAAAGGAAAAUGCAGCAGGAAGCCUGGGAGCAGGCAAAGGAGAAGGGGAAGGGGAAGUUAAACGAGGCCUGACCGAUACUGGAGUGCAACGCAGCGGCUAGUCGAGAGGCAAGCACAUGCGGGUUUCAGAUGUCGACGUCGGGUGCAGCUCACUGGGUCGGAUUUGGUUGACGGCCUUCCCCCACAGCCUGCUCGCUGGACCCACGACCGACGCUCGCCGUCGGCAGCCGUACUCUCGCUCGCUCGCACUAAUUUAGGGUCAACCGGUAAAUAGUGUCUCGAGGAAAGGUCGGGGAGGGCAAAUACCGAGGUGUCGGUGCAUCGCUUUUUGGUCGCUGCGGAUUACCGGAUCAGUCGCGUCCGUGUGACGAGUUGCUUUGCCCUUCGAGAGGCGGUUGAAAAGGGGUGAGAUUUAGGUUUCACAUAAUUGACUGAUGAUAAUGGAGGAGGUUGGUUUGACGUCGGUCUCCAGCGGACCGUUUCCAUCAUUGACGUCUCAACCAGCUCGCUCUUCACAGGGUGGGGGUUAGUGGAAACCGUGACGGUGAAAUGGCGUCGGUGGGCGGCAGCAGUUAAAAGAGUCGAUAAACAAUAGCAGAUCCAUAAGCUUCGCUCACCGCCAGGUCAAUGCAGCGGAGGCGGCAAGGCAUCCGGAAUCAGUAAAUGAGUAGCCCUCAAGACCAUAAAAGCGGAGGACACGUGAACGGAGUGGGCCCCUUCAUUCCUCCUCUGUGGCGUUAAGGCAGGAGGGUUUGGUUGGGGCCCAGUGCCGACCCUCGGUUCGCUGGAGAAACAAAAGAUUCUUGAACGGAGAGUUGGGGCGGGAGUGGGACGAUUUGUGUGCAGCGUUUCUGCACGUGGCAUGUGAUUCUUCUGGUGCAGAACAGAUUCUUGAUUGAUCAUAUCUCCGGUCGGUUUGCUUCGGUCCAAAUGAGAAAGAGGUGGGCAUUAAUGCGAGACAUCCCAAAGAGCUUUUGUUCUCGUGAGUUGGCGUGCCAGCGUCUUCCCAGCUUUGUCGACUCGGGCGCGUCCAUCCAAACUCCUUAUGGUCGGUCCGGUGAAGAUGUGUCGGCUUCAUUGAUAACGCUGGAGAUGAUGAAGGUGGAGCGUUGCACGACAAGUAUCAGUCCCCUCGUAUGAUAAUGGUACACUGGGCUUGCAUACUUGACGUUUAAUCGGAGACAGCGACGGAGUCAUGUAGAUAUACCACCUACUCCCAGAGACAAGCUGAGUUGGUGAGAGAGCUAUGUCAGUAACAGUAGGUAAAACAUUUUUCUACCCAAGUCUUUAUUUGGUCUGGUAAAGAUAAGUAAUUUGAUGAAGAAAAUAAAAACAACUUUCAUAUCAAUUAUUAUGAUUGAGAACAUAUCUCAGGACAUUUUACAAUGACGGCUAUCCAUGUGUCAUAUUCUCCUUAUCAGUUGAUAAACAUAUCGAUUCUUUAGAUAGUUUUAAGAAAUAAGAAAUGAGCAGUAACAUUUGCAACAGCCCAUUGAAUAAUAUGAGGAUAUAAUUGUUCUUUCCAGUUCUUGAAGACUAGAUUUUGAGUCAUCAAAACAAAUCUCAAACCCAACAGGUUUGACGGGAAUCGUUGGGCUUUCUAAUUUGGAGUAGAACUGAUGUGGCUGAGCGGGCUUGGAUCUCCGACGGUGUAUCUUCAAUCACAGCAACCGCGAUUCCCUAAGGUUCGAAGACUCGUCGCCUCCCCUCACCCGCUCGGUCAUUCUCCUCCGCCUCACUCGAUCUCCACUGCUGCACCACCGUUCGAUUGAUCCUCGCCUUCCCACUCCAUCUUCUUCGUGAUCUUUCUCCGCCACCAAUAUUAAUUGCCACCUUUCAAUCCAAAACUCAAACUUCUCAUCGGCUGUUGUCUGUCGUAGCGCUAUUCCUAUAUUUGUAGCGUUCCAAGGACUUGUUGCUCGAAUUUGCAACGUGGAAAGCCAAACAAUUGGAUCGAUCGCUCGGCCAAGAUACAAAGGAACUAAUUGCACUUGGAGAACACUGGAAUUCCAAUCGAAUGCCGCUCGUGUUUAUGAUGGGAAGCGGUGAUCGAGUUUUAUAUCCUGAUUUAGCAUUUGACGUAAGGCUAUGAUUUACCAUUUCAAAUCGAGGACGUGGUAACACGAGGGGUGAAAUGAGAGAAGGGAAGAAAGAUGAAUCGAACAUUUGGUCUAAUUCAUGCUACCAAUUUCAUUAUGAAGACUAGGCAUGCUCUUUUUGUGCUAUAUGCAAAAGGCUGCCACGCAACGAUAAAAAGAAAGAAUAUUACACCACACAAAAAUCUUUAUCGAGGUUGCUCGGUCACUCGGCAUCCUCUUCGAUCGUGCUCAUUCGCUCCAUGCCCCGCCGCCGCUGCCCCAACUUGGCCCGGUUCGAAGCACUACGCUUCGGCAUCGUCUUCUUCUUCUCCAAAGACCUCGAUCUAUAAUCAUCACCGUUGUUCUCGAGCGCAUCUAAUCCUGCUAACUCCGCGGCGAUGGGCAUGACUUGAACCGUUCGCCGACCGUGAUCUCUGUGCCUCGAAGCCAGCGGUUGGAUCGCCAUGCUGGCCUUCACCGCAAGAGCCGCCAUGUCCGAUCCCGAGAGCGGAUACUCGAGCUUGGAGACAGGCAGCAUGAAGUAGAGCUGGCCCAACUGCAGCGACUCUUUGGAGCCGAGCGCCGGGAUGUAGGUGUUGCAGUAGAGCUCGUCGGAGCUGCAGAUGAAGCAAGAAGGAUGGUGGCGACCGAGGACCUCGUACACCUUCACCUCGGUCGAGAACUCGCUCAGGGAGCCGUCCAGGGUGAUGACUUUGGCCGUCACUGGAGAGGGCGUUUCAGCGGUGGAGGCGAAGGCGAAGGAGAAGCAGGAUCCCAUGUAGCGAUGGAUAGCAGAUUUGUUGACAGUACCGAGACCGAAGACGAUAAGGUAAUUUAUAAGAGAGAAGGGUUGACGUUGAGAGGGAAGGGUGACGUGCGCGAGGUCGUCACCGGAAGUAUCCGAGGUCGCUUUUGUGUCACGGCUGACGAACGGCUCCUGCGUGCAUCAAAAGCAAGCACAGUCGGGCCAAGUAAUUGGGGAUUGGGUCAAUCUGCUCCGAUUAAACGUGUGGUCCAACGCCGUUCAACUCAACCACAUACCGGCGGGCGGAGUCGCUAGAUUUGACCAGGAGCGCAGUUGCCUUGGGCACCAAACAAUACCAACCGUCUCGGAGGCAGAAAAGUCCACCGACGUGUGCGUUUGGUUUGGGGGUCAACGUAGCAUCUGGAGCAAUCAUGCAGGAUCCUGAUGUGAACCAAAUAUAGGAUUAUAGGGUGCGUUCGGGUCUACCGGAUUAAAGUUCUUAUCGUCCUACACAUUAUGAUCCCAAUCUGGCGUGUGUGCCAGUAGUUGUCACAUCUGGCUCACAUGUUUUGGAAAUCAACAAGAUAAACAAAGGCAUACGGAUCAUCACCUGUCCUAUCAUCAGCACAGGAGCUAAAAAAGGGUCUGCACAUGAAGCCGUCCGCAACAGCAGAUCGACCGUGCGACUGCGCCCAAAUUAUACGAUAUGCAGAGCCAAUGACACGUACAUACCCCCGUACCCAAUCCUUUUCGUCUGCUCUAAAGGACACGUGUAGGCGUAUGCAGGGGCGUCUGUCCCAAAUUUAUGGCGCAGGGCACGCAUCAGCUACACGUACUUGGCUGAGCCGCCUUCGUGUCGGGAAGACAGUGAUGGUUUCUCCGCCGUCUGGGAUGACCUGAUAAAUUAGCAGUCUGUUGCAUGACGUCAUGUUAGGCCUAAUUUUCCUUCUUCCGCAGGUUCCUGAAAGCAAGAUGAGAUAUCUGCUUUGGGAUGGAUAGCUUUGACACAUCUACUUUGACUAUCUCCCAUGAGGGGAGAUGAGAUGGGGAGAUGAGAUGGGUUGAGAACAUACACUUGUCGAGGUGGAAACUUCCAAAAUGAGAGGCAACCUUUUUGUGUUGGAUUUUCCGACUACCACUUCAAUCCACAAGAAGUUGCUCGGCAUCAACAGGAAUAAGACUAACCCCACCGCAACGCGUCAUCGCUCAUGUAACACGCCGUGAUACUCCACACGUCCGGUGGCUGGGGGAUUAUUUUUGAGAGGAUGCGAGGUGCACGACGCUAUGAGACGAGCGGGGAAAGAGAUGGAAAAUGACGGGCGGCCAAGGCCGGAGACUUCUCAGGAGGAUUCCUCACGGCUCUCUUGUGGGCCGGAGACAAACACAAGACUUGAGCCGCUCCACCCCGCCUUGGCGUGUUUGUCAAGUCACCACUUUGAUGUAUGCGUUUGACACCUCAAGAUGCUUCAUGCCACCAUCCUUCUCUUCUCUCUCUCUCCAUCAUCCGGCGUACAAACCCACCAAUUCACAUCCCCGUGCCCAGCGUUCCCUGACUCAGCACAUCAAUUUAGUAUUUACUCAGGCUCACCUCGCAGCUUCCACAAACACGCACACACACUCUCUCUCUAGUCAACGUAUUUUUGCCAUCCUGGGGUAGCCCUUCCCGAGCGUGCAACGGUAACCGAACAUGGCAACUCUCCAAAGCCUUUUUUUGUCCCCUUGACAUUGCAGUCGAACAUCAUCACCACAAGCACUAGUUUGAUGCAUCUUAAACACCUUCCUCCCUGCAAUUACUAAUGUUCUCCGAAAUAGCCAAUGUGGAAGAAGAUAAAUCAGUGGACCUCACCCAUCUAGUGCUCACCACGAGGAAACCGACCAUGGCUACCUCGAUAACAACUAAACAAAUACAAUGAAUCAUCACAGAAUUGAGAUAUGCUACGGUGGGAUACAUGAGAGGUGGCAUACAUGUACACUUAGAACCAUGCACGACGACAAGAAGCAUAUCAAGAUCUGGAGGCACCCCUUUUCCCAUCCCCUAACCGUACUUACAAAGGACAUGGUGCCAACGGUUAAGACACCGGUAAAAGAAGGCGUAUCAUCUACUAAAAGGAAGAGGAAGAGGGAAAAGCUACACAAUCCUCCUCGAACGCUCAGAUCUUAGGAAAUGAGAGGAGAGAGAGAGCACUGCAUUCUAAUAUUAUGUACAACUGACCACUGGUCUCUUUGACCGUAUACCACAAUCACUACAAGUACCGUAUCCACUACUUUUUACAGACAUGGUGAGCUAAUUAAGCUGCUUUCGAAAUCUUCCUGCAUCAUACUGGCUUCUUAAUUAUGAGAUAUAUUUUACUCGUCAUCGACCGGUCCUCUCAGAAGGGAGCUCGGUGGGGUGUACCCUUUCGCUUGGAUGUCCGGUAGCUGACGAUGGGAGGCGUUCCGGGUGAAAUGCUGCGGCUGGUGGCGGUUGCGUCGUCUUCCAAAUGCGAGAUAGGCACUUCGAUCCUGCGGCUAAAGGCCGAUGACGUCUUCCGGAGCUUUCUGGGGGACGACGAAGUGUCCGACUCCAAACCGUAGAGCGAGUCACGGCCUGGUUUCGGGCGGAGAUUGAAGGUGAGCGCCGGGUCCGUCUCCAUGCCUCCAAGCUGCGAGGAGAGACAAGAAUAGUCAACAGGAUUGUAAAUGGGGAACCUACUGUCGAGGAAUCCAUUAUAUAUAGGUGGUUUGUUGUUCAAUUAGUUCGACCGCGCAUCGCAAAAUGUUAAGUACAAGUUAAUUUGAACAUCUACAUCCCAUCCCAUUUCAUUUGCUAUGUUGGUGGAGACAAAUGCAGAAGGAAACAAGAAGAAGAAAUGCUCAGAGGAGGAGGAAAAGCUUCCGUCGUAGAGAAGUAAAGGUUGCUUGUCUUCUAUAAAUGCGUGUGUAUGUAUAUGCAGAUCAACGUCCGUCAAUAAUAUGCACUGGGGGAAGAGGGAUUGAUGAAGCACGCUGCACCUUGCAUCCCAGGGAGCAGAACCGGAAGGAAUCCAGGAGGCUUCGGCAGCAAAUCUCACAUGUGUUGGUCACGCCUUUUCCGGGCCUCGGCUGCGGCCUCCCGUUGAGGAAGACGAUCUUGGCGCUGUUUAUAACGUAGGUUUGAACGCAGGAGAUGUCUAUAAACUUGGCAACCUCCGACACCCUGAUCACGUUGUGAUACGAUGAUCUCCUAAUCUGAACCGGCAGAAUCAGAAUUUCCAAACAGUAAGAAUCAAAACGAACGAAGUUUGGUUUGCGGAUCGAUUCAUCAGGCUGGCAAACAGGACAAAAGUAAUGACCUGAACGACACGGUGAUCCUUGUGAAGGGAGAGGCAAUAGGAGCAGAGUGAUUCUUCCAUGCAAUCCAAACAGUACAUGUUGCACUCGCUCUUGCUGGAGUCUACAUGGAUCUUACAGGGAACGAAGAAGACCGUUCUCAGGAGCGGCUUCAGCCAUGACGGGCCACCAGCAUCCUCGUCCCCCGACUGGACCAUCGGACCCACCUAAGCAACCAAAGAAAGGAAAAAUCCCCAUGCAUCGAUUAAGCCCCGAUCCCCGGAAGCACCAACGGCAACCAAAGUAGCCAAAAACCGAAGACAAGCGAAAAAGAAACGGGAAGGCGGCGCCUUUACCAUCACCUUCUUCUGCUUGCUCCUCGCAAAUCCGACCCUGUGCUUGUUCUCGAUAGCCAGCUCGUCCAGAUACGAAGUAAACCGGAAUAAGCAAGAGACCAAACCACAAUCACAAAUCCAAGCACAAAUCAAGGAUUGUAUCGGCGAGAUGAGGACCACUUAGCAUCAAAAGCAACCGUCCGGAAUAGAAUCGUCGAGAAAGCCGCCGGGAGCAGAAGGGGGAGAAGAGAUGAGCAGGAGGAGAAACAGAGCAGAAGGGACAUGAGAAAGAGGGGUAAACGGUGGCGAUGGAAGUCUCGAAGACGAGCGGAGGAAAUGCCAAAAUGGUAAUCAUAUGUAAAUAGAGAUAGACAUAUAUGGCGGUUCGCUAAGUAGGCGAUUAUUGUAUGCACGGAGGGCGUCGAUUUAUGGCGACUAGUUGUGGUAGAUCAGAAGCCAUCGAAUCGGCUAACUAAUUAAAUGGCAGCAUGACACAGCGGAUGGUGAUAAUUGCGUACCAUUAAGGCUGGUGUUAUGACGAAGGGACUUUGUAAUAGUUGAAUUUAUUACAGGAGGGAUGAGAGGGCCGUCCUACGGUGCAUCGUGUCAAAUCCGUAGCUCUUAGCAAACAUAUGGUAUUUGUUUUCUUAGAUUUAAGUUUAUUAUUAUUAUUAUUAUUAUAUAUAUAUAUAUAUAUAUCUUUGUAAAUCUAUAAUUUUAUAUCUCUAAAUUUGUUUUUUUAUCCACUUAUUUGAAUUGAAUUUAAGGCAUAAAUCAAGAGUCAAAUGACUAAAAAAAAUUAAUAAUAAAUAUUUUUAUUGAUAUGAAAAGUAUGAUAUGUAGUUAGUUUGAUGACACAUCAUCUUCACCCGAUAGACUUAUAAGUUGGCCCUAUCCUUUCCUCUUCCGAGCGUGACAUGUGAUGUUGAUGAGGGUAAUGAUUCGACAUAAACAUAUCAGUCCAUUCGAUUGAGAUGAUAAUUGAUAACUCUCAAUAUUGAAAUAAAUUAUUGUCUAAUGAUUAUAACACUGAUAAUUCGAUCAGAAUUGUCUUAAUAUGCUAAAAAAAAUUUAGGUGUAUUGAGUGAAUGAUUAAUUUUUUUAUUAUGUUUUUGAAUCUUUUAAAUAUCAUAAUAAAUUAAAUAUCGUGAGAUUUUUAUAUGAUAUAUUCCUAAUAUAAUUUUAUAAGUAGAAUCCUCAAACUAUAACACAUUUAUGACCGGUGACAAUUGGCCCUGAACCUCUUUCAUGUAUUAAACAACUAGAAUCUACCUAAAUGGUAUGUAAGUGUGAUUAGUAAUAUGAUUAGCUUAAGUUUAUGAGUAUCAAUAAUUAGCUUACGCAUUUAUCUUUUUAAUCCCUCAAAAAAACUCGUCUAUUAAUAUACACACAAUACUAACAUCAUAAGUUGAAAAGUUUGUACUAAAAUAUAAUAUAGGGGAGACAUGGGUUCACUAUGCACAAUUAUUAUAAGGGUGCAAACCUCUCGCUUUAACCCAACAAAGACAACGAUGGUGGCGGCGAUGAGGAUUGUUGUGGAUUUUGAUCGAACCAUAUAAUGCAUCUAUGACAACAAUUGACAAUACAAAUUGUCAUCGUCAAUCAUGGGACGAUGAACCGCUCAUCCAUCCCCCAAACUUAUCCAUUAGGAAGCCGAAUUCAGAAAUAAUAUUUGCAUAAAGGUCACAUAAUUGAUGGAGGUUGCAAAUACACAGUCUCCCCAUAUGGAUACGCCCAGCGGAUGCAAGCAAGUACUUGUAAACCAAGCUAAAGCGACCUUAAUCGUUUCCUAAUUCUCCUCAGGAAGGGCGGAUGGUGGCAGAUUUAUUAGUUAAUCGACCAAGUUGAGUCAAUCAAGCAAUAGUCGCCGAUGCUUCAAGAAAAUAGGGAAGUGCGAACCGUAUCACUAACUCUUCGUGCAAGGAAAAAAAGAAGACGAUGGAAGUGUACAGAAAAAUUCCUCCAACUUCACAGUGGUUGGAUGGAUUCGAUGGUACACCAGACCAGACUGCAAUCAUCGACGCUAAUGCUUGGAAGCUUCACUUUGACUUGGCGCGUGAUUCGGAGGUGUUCAAUCUUUUUUUUGUUGGUUGACUCUCGAGAUGACACCAUGCACGGUGCUACUUUUCCGAUGCUAUUUCUUGUCUCCCAAGGAUUCAAAUACGCAAGUUGAUCGACCAUCGCCCCCUCCCACCUCGUCUGACUUGUACGCCAUCGGCUAAAUAUUCAACAUCAGAAGUUUCUUUUCUUGAUCAUUCAUUUUGCUAUGCAUAAGAGCUGUAUAAUUCCAAGAUUGCUACUCGUAAUCCUUUGUGACACUGUUGGUGUAUGUAUUGCUCUCAACAUUUUAUGGGAGGCGUGCUAAUCCUCUCCUACGCUUCCUUCUCCUUUUUGUUAUUCCCAUUAAAAAAAAAAGUACAUAUAAGGUAAAAAUAUGAUCGACACAUCGACCCUCACGGUUUAUGGAUGGUUGACAUCUCAAGGCCACAUGACCAAUGCGUGAUUGAUAGAUUGGCGUCUUGCGGCUUACGCAUGAUCGACACCUUAGAGUGAUCAGUACGUGAUCGACUUCUCAACAUGAGGUUGAAUUAAUUAUAUCAUAGAUUCGAAGUGAUGUAAUUGUAAUUAAGCCCGAGCGAAAUGCACAACCGUUAUCAAUAAUUGAUAUCGAUCAUGAGAGUAACCGUCAUAAAAAUCCAUUACAAAAGAGUUCUCUAGGUAUGUUCUAUGACACUUGUCACAAUAUUGCUAAAUAUAUUGGUUGAGUCUUCCAACACAAAACUAACUUAAACAUCAAAGGAAUACCGUCGAGAACACAACUAAUUCAAUUUUGUCAUCUCCAAAGUCGAUCGAAUGGACUUAGAGACCAACCAAAUACAAAAAAGGAUAUCAAUUGAUUUCGAAUCAACAUUCACUUGGAACAACUAAUUUCUCACUUAAGUAAAAAAUAAUAUCUCACAUACUUUUUUCUUGCAAUAAAAAAGGCUUUUUAUUAGAAACAUCAUAUAUUCGAUGAUUAAAAGAAACUUGGUCGACAAGGCAGAUGUGACAGUCCAAAAUUCCACCCGCUAGCAUGGACUUUUGCAGGAUGUUUUAAUCAUCGUUCUAUGCUAGUUUUUGACGAUCAUUCCCUUGUUUCUCCAACCACAUAUCUCAAUCACUAAGAUACAUCGUGCACACAUUCUUUUAAGACCCAUUAUAAGGACCAAAGAAUUUUUGCUACGCUUAUGGAGGCCCACGAUAUCCGCCCGGCCCAAAAAAAAGGGGUGCCAUCGGAACCUCUUAGAUCAGCAUGCAGAUGCUUCGAUCACAUACCGAUCGGUCGACGGUCCCAUGGUCCAUCCAUCCCUCGUAAUUAUUGAGCCCACUUCAUACACAUGACACCGAACCAGGAAAAGGAAGACGAAUAAUUCUUUGCCAUCAUAGCUACGUGCAUAGCUUUUGUGGCGCUGUGAUAGACAAAGGUCUCCGCGAUUCAUUCAUCGGUCCAAAGUGGUCAAAUAAAAUAACCUUUUUUAUAAUAAAUGGGACAUGAGGAGGAGAACAAUAAUAACUAAAAAGGAGCGUCUAUGUAUACAACAACUUACAGCGAGGGAAGAGCUCCUCUCCUUUACCUUCUCUCCCCUUACCAUGGGACCGAUGCCGCGGCAGAGGCUUAAAGAAGAUGGUUAUUACCACGCCGGAAUGGUCCCUAUGGUUUGCUUCUCGAAGCGCCUGAUGGUGUCGGCGACACGCUUCAUGUUGUCAUCGUAAACGUAUGGGAUCUUCUCAAACCAUGUCACGUUGCCUGCCGCCGGUAGCGGCACAAAUUCCCGGCAUGGCUCGCCCAACACAUUGAUGGAGUUGUGGUAGUGGUAGUAUCGGAUCAUGUCCUCCGUCUUGUGGGUGGUCUUGCCGAUGACGUUCUCCGACAUGUGGACGCCCGUGGCAUACGCGUUCUUGGCCUGGAUGGCGUAUUUGCGGUCUCUCCUUACUCCGGUGAUGGAGUUGCGGAACACCAGCUUCUCGAACCCCCAUUCCCUGCAUACCCACAGUAACGGAGACUGAGAUGGGAAGAACCAGAUUUGCACAUCAAAACCCUUAUGCCGCUGCGAAAUGUUACCGAUUGUUUCGAUCCAAUUCGAAAUGGGAAGAGAGAUCAAACUCACUUGGAGUAGUCUUUCUUGGGGUCCUGCACGCACAGCUUGCUGGACAUGGGAUUCUGCUCGAUGGUGAAUUGGGUGUAGUCGGAGAGGUUACGCAGCACGGACUCGAGCGUCCGCCCCUGGGGCAGGUAUAUGUACUCGUCCACGUCGAAGAAGAAGGUCCAAUUGGCCGCAUGCCGGUACCUGUGCAAGCAAUCGUUCACCACCAGGAACUGGUUGUAGUAGUAACCAUCGUACUCCGCUUGCGCCUGGAUGUCCUGCAAGGUGGCGCGCCCCGCCCUCACCCAUGGAUCGAGCACCGCUCGCACCUCCGGGCCGAUGCCCCCGGCGUCGUGGAAGACGAAAUGGGAGCUGGGGCCGAAGAAGUGGGCGUGGUAGGCCAUCCACUCCCUGAUCCGGCUCGCGCUCAGGUUGCCGUAGAGAGAGGAGCCGCAGUACAGGUACUCGUACUUGAACGGUGGCCGGAAGCGGGACUCGUCGUAGGAGCCCGGGGACUCCUCCAGAGCCACGAACUUUUCGUACCUCCGGGACUUGGUGGAGUAGUAGGCGUGGAGGAGGAGCUUGCCGCCGGCGUUGUCCGUGUUGGGGUUGAAAGGGAAGGAGCAGUUGACGACGACGACAGUGUAGACGCGGCCGUAGCCCCAGUCCGGCAGCAUCUUGUAGGCUUUGGCGCGGACUGGCUGUGGCUGGGAGGUGGCGUUGGGGGCGGCGGACGGGUUGGGGUCGGGAACCCACUCGCAUUUGUACCAGGGUCUACCGUAGACGUGGGUGGGCUUGGAGGCCAGCCCGACGACGGCGAAGGUGGCCGGGCCGCCGCGGUAGGCGCCCAUCAGGACGAAGAGGGCGGCGGCGCUGCCGUAGGCCUGGAAGACCCGUUUGUUGCGGUCCAAAGCGGGGGUUCUCAUCUUGGCGGUGGGAACCGAAAGAUUGGAGCUUGGAAGUGGCUUCAGGGCGGUGGAGUUGAAGGCGGAAUCAGGGGUGAGAGAGAGCCCCGAUUUCCGGACGCUGGUGACAGUGUUGGAAGUGGCGGUGGCGAGAGGGCAGGAGGAGCGGGAGGUGAAGAGGGACUCGUAGGGUUGCAGCUGCCACAUGGCCAUGACGAGGGUGAGGACUACAAGGGUGGCUACGAAGGCCUUCACGUCAAAACAGGGGAGGAGCGGAAUGGGAGGGGACGCUCCAUUACCUCCUCCUCCCUCUUUCCUCGGGUUGGCUUUCAUCCUUUGCUCGAUCGGAUUUGUUGCUUCUUGCCUCCUCUACACUGUGUUCCUCAGGAUUGAUCUUGAAGGCGAAGCUUCUGCUUUCCCAAUCUCUCUCCCCCUUAUUUCCUUUCUACUGCAGAAAGCAGCGGUGGAAAUUGUGGUACUUAAAAAAGAACAAGAAAAGAAUCCCCCGACAAUACUUGAGAGAGAGAGAGAGAGAGAGAGAGGAGAGCAGUCGGCUGCGGUGGGAAGCCAUAGACGCGACAACUCUCACGCUGAGCUCUUUUUAACCUGAUCAAGUACUGUGUCUGGAGACGAGCCGUUUUUACUUCCCUGUCUUUAGCAUGCAUCUGCGAUCACAUUUGGUCGUCUCAGCCGUCAUCAUUGUAUCGACGACGGUAUUGCUCCAAACAUACAGCAUUGAACUAUGAGAUUAUGAAGGAAUAGUGCAAUAAGCUUCAACUCAAUAUUUUGAGAUCAGGUCAUUAAUAGUUGAUACAUCAUACGGCAACAUCAAUCACGAAUUCCCACAUUAUGUCACCAUCCUCAAGAUUCUCCUUCUAAUAAUUACCACUUAAAUUUAUUGUGUUAGUGCUUCAUAUCUAUAAUGACACAUCGGUAGAUUCUGUAAACGCAGCACGAUCACAGAGCUGUGACGGAUUCCACAUCACAGCAUUAUCUGUUAAUUAAAGGAAGACAUAGGAUUCUGUCUUUAAUUGCUUUGGCACUUCGUUUUCUGUAGCUAUCAUCUGCAAAGGGCUACUUUAUAUUACUGGUGAAGCUACGUUCCAUUGCCCUUUCGAUCAGUGCACUAAAAAGCUAUUAUUAUCUUUUGACUAAGGCAAGCAUGAUGUCUAUUAUAGUUCACUCCUAUUGCUAUGUCACUCGGUGUAGUUUGUCCAGGCGACUUCAUGUCAUAAUAAAGAGUAGUAGGUAGUAAGGGCGUACACGUAAGACAGCUCACACUCGUAUAAGCUGUUUUAACUGCAACCAUACUUGCUUUUAUCUGUGGUCACGAAGAAGGUUCCCGUACCUUCUAGGUAGAUCUUAUUAUAUCUCCGUAUUAUUAUUGAUUGGGUUUGUUCUGUAAAUAUUCUUUCGAAUCUCAAGUUAACGAGGUUAGUAUGAAAGAAAAAAAUAAGAGAAAAAAAAUAUUGAUGACGGGCUCUCUUUUAUAGUCAUCGAUAUUUGUUGUUACAAAAAAUAUUUCCUAAAUUAAAAUAUAUAAUCGUUUUCUAUAUUGAUUUGACUUGACAUGAUCAAUUUAAUCAUUUUAUUUUGUCUUUUCGAUAGCAUCUAUGCAUCGAGGGUCGACCGGGCACCAAUAUUACUCCUAUCAAUUUUGUAUGCAAUUUAGAGCUUAAUUAGAUGUCCAAGGCAAAAACAAAGUAGCGUCAACGUUAUAUGCAAUUAAUGUACUCGACGUAGCGAUGUGGCUAAAUGUUAUUAUCAAGCACAUGGAUUUUGUUCUUUAAGAAAGAAGGGAACAAUUAACUCAUGCUCGAUGACAACACAAAUGAAUGAUUGUAUUACGGGGGCUCAAAUGCAUCACAUGUCGGAGACUUCUUCGCACUACGUUUUGCUCCUCUGUGCCGUCGACGACGAGCUUAAAUG